UCUCUUCUGCCAAGGCUUGGCGGGUUGAUUCAAGUUCAGCCUCAGCAGCACUCAAUUUCUGGGUGGCCAAGCUUGAUUGCCUGACUGCCUUAGCUAUUUCAUCUCGGGCUUUGGCUGCAGCCUCCCUUGCCCAUUUCUCAGUACAUAUCCGUGCUUUUCUCUCUUCAUUCAGUUUUUUGAAAAAGAAAUUCUGUGAAAAAAGGGACUCCUGUUUCUCAGAUGCCUCGGUUUUAAUUCUCUUGCUGUUUUCCCUCUCUUCAUCCAGAGCUUGGCAUGUUGCUUCCAGUUCAGCGUCAGCAGCACUUAAUAACAUGGUAGCCAGGCUUGCCUGCUUGACUGCUUCAGCUCUUUCCUCCUGAGCUUUGGCUGCAGCCUCCCUAGCAGAAGCCUCAGCAAGUGCCCAUGCUUGCCUCUCAUCUCCAAGUUCUUGGAAACUCAUUUUCUGGGCAAGAAGUAAUUCCUUUUGUUUCUCAGAGGCCUCAGAUUGAAUCCGUUGGCAGUGUUCCCUCUCUUCAACAAGGGCUUUGCGGGUUGCUUCUAGUUCAGCCUCAGCAGCAAUCAAUUUCUGGGUAUCGAGGAUUGAUUUCUUGACUGCCUCGGCCACUUCAUCCCGAGCUUUGGCUGCAGUCUCCCUCGCAGAAGCCUCAGCACAUGCACGUGCUUGUUUCUCAGCAUCCAGUUCUUGAAUACUGGUUUUCUGGGCACGAAGGGCUUCCUCCAGUUUCUCAGAGGCCUGACAUUGAAUUCGUUUACAUUGUUCCCUUUCUUCAUCCAGGGCUUGGCGGCUUGCUUCUAAUUCAACCUCGGUGGCACUCAACUUCUGUGUAGUCCGCCUUGCAUUCUCCGUAGCCUGAGCUAUUUCCUCCUGUGCUUUGGCUGCAGCCUCCCUUGCGGAAGCCUCCGCUCGUACUAGUUCUUGGUAACUUGUUUGCUGAGCAAGAAGAGCUUCCCUCUGUUUCUCAGAGGCCUCAGAUUUAAUUUGCUCACAGCGUUCUCUCUCUUCAGCCAGGGCUCGGUGGGUUGCUUCUAGUUUAGUCUCGGCAGGGCUUAAUUUCUGGACAGAGAUGCUGGCUUGCUUGAUUGCCUCAGCUACUUCGUCCUGGGCUUUGGCUGCAACCUCCCGUGCGUACACCUCAGCAUGUGCCCGUGCUUGUCUCUCUUUAUCCAGUUCUUGUAAACUUGUUUUCUGGGCAAGAACAGCUUCCUUCUGUCUCUCAGAUGCCUCAGAUUGAAUUCUCUUGCAUCUUUCCCUCUCUCCUUCCAGUGAUCUACGGGUUGCUUCCAAUUCCGCCUCAGUAGAAAUUAGUUUCUGGGCAGCCAGGCUUGCCUGCUGUAGUGUGUCAGCCAUGUUCUGCUGUCCAUUUGCUGCAACCUCCCUCACUAAAGCCUCAGCACGAGCCCGUGCUUGUCUCUCAUCAUUCACUUCUUGCUUGAGCUUCGUAACUUCAAUCUCUAUUUGGUAAAGACGGCGUCUAAUCUCCGUAAUGCAUCCCUUAAGCUGGAACCAAAAUAUAAGUUAAUGACUGAGAGUUAGAACAUAUGCAGUACGACAGUAGAGCAAAAAUUGAUGCUUACAACUUUCUCCACUUCUCUUGUGGGUAGGGAGGCAAAAGAUAGAGAGCCCGUUAGGAUGGCCCGUACAGUGAAAUAUAUUUCAGAAGAUGGUAGUCUGUGUUCCUGCUCCUCCUGAUGCCAUUGAGGGCCUGAAGAUUGGCCAGCUUCCAAGUGAGGUUGCCAUGGAAUCCUCUUAUCACCUGGCAUAGCAUCAGGAGGUUCAGGCAUGAUGGCCUGGUCAGAUCUUUGGAACUGCAGUAGGGGUUUCUUAGACAGGGGCUCUGAAGUGGGCUUUGUGGCUCCAAUCUGAAACCUCUUUUUUCCCAUCCUAACAGAAAGGACAGCCAACUAUGGAUCUAUUUUGCGCUUGGCAGAUGGAUGUUUUCGUUGACAAAUUAAGAUUUCAAUGUCUCGGAAAUGGAUAUUUUUGCUCAUCAACAAUUUCAAUGGCAGAGAGGAUUAAUUGCCAUCGGAUCCGUUAACAUGAUAAAGGAAAUGAAGUUGGAAUAACACAUAACAGAGAGAGAGCGAGGAAGAUGAAACGGCUACGACCUUUAGCAAUAAAAGAAUCCUACUCAGCCUCACUCUUCUCGAGUAAAACUUUAUUAUAUGUGACCUUUGAACUUUUGUUAUAUCUGGGCUCACUGAAUUGCAGUAAUGAUCCUGAUAUAAUUUAAAAAGAACAACUAAUGAAAGAAUAUUUUAGCAUUCUUGCUAUGCGGGGUUCUGUGACGUUGGAAUUCAUAUCAGACAUUAACCCGAUCUCUGAUUAACUAUAUAUAAUUGACUUCAUAAAAAGCUAGACUAAAGAAAAAAUAAUCACCAAAAAGAUAAAAUAAUGUUGCAGAUGCAAUGAGAAGACCAAUGGGAGAUUUUGUCCCAACAAUAUCAUGAAUUAUGUAUUUGAGAUAAGUGGUGAAUAGAGAUGAACAUGGUACGAACUCCUUAGAUUCGCUUUGGGGGUGGUGUUAGCUAUUUUUUUUAACAUAGCUGUAGUUUGUUUUACAACUCUAGACAUCCUGAGUCCAUUAAAGGGCAAUGAUGGAAAAGUAUACACCAAUCCACCUUUUUUAAUUUAUUUACCCAUCUUACUUAAUCCCAAUUUCUCGUUUUUAUAACCCAUCCUUCCAAAUCUAUCAUUCUUAAAAAGCCUUCCAAUCUGUUGGUCUUCUCCCUCUUCCAUAUUCUUCUUCCUUCUCUAUAACCUUGUUCCACGUUUAUUCCAAUUUUAAAAAAACUAACUUUUACUUCAUCAAGAAAAUAGAUUCAUCCAUAGUUGAAGCCUUCAUUGAAAGCAUAUUACAUAUAUAGUACUACAAAAAUUUUAAAUAAUGACGCUUAAAUCUUUCAUGCUUCUAAAAAGCGUCAAGAAAUUAAAUGAACAAUUAUGCUUGAUCAAUAAUGGUGCUUGGUGAAUAUUUAAGUUGGCGCUUGAAAAAUUUUAUAAGUAUUGGUGCUUUAUAUAAAUGAAUAAUGAGUUUUAUAAAAGAUGUGUUUUAUGUGAGUGUCAUUGCACUUUAUAAUUAUGAACAAUCUUAGCGCUUGUAAUAAGUGUUAUUGUCUCUUACCAUGUAUAUGUACCUAUAUUUUCCCAUUUCUCAAACAUCUUGCCUCAUCCCAACAAACCUAGAAAGCUAAACCUAAAAUCAUCCAUGACCUUCUACCUUGCACCAACAAACUCAUUGUAGACUACCAACUAUCAGUUGACUAUGUAUCAUUGAUAUGGGAUUAAAUCCCAUGUUAUUUUACUAGUAACCAUUAGACCAACUAACGAUGGAUAGGAGGACCUCUAUGGAGACACCUGAAAUCACUUGCAUUUUGAGUCACGUAUUUGGUAAUUGUUCAUGGCCGGUAAAGAACAUUAAAGAAAAGAAAUACAAUUAGGUUUAUGCAUCUUGAAAGCUUGAACUCAAUUUAGUCUAUUGGAGUUUUCACUGAUACAUCUUUGGAAUCUCUAUAUUUGUAUUGGAAAGGUUAUUUUUUUGGUUCAUUUUAGUUCAUUUUGAUAUGGGUUGAAGUUGGUUUGUGUUCAGAGUGGUCUAGAGAAGCUCAGGACAUGGAGAAAAGAGGGAGGCCUUGGUUGGAGUAUUAGUGCUAGUGUGUUUGUCGUAUUAGAAUCUUAGGGUUUUGUAUUAUUCUCAGGAUCAAAGUGGUUUUACAUUGUUAUGGGCAUAAAGUGAAUGAAACAACUAUCUCUACAAAAUAUGCUUCAAAGUAGAAUUUGGGGCUUUGAAUUUCUUCGGAUUUUAACUUAGUGUAAUGCUUGUUUGGGUAUCAACAGGUUUGUUUAGCUUUUUUUUUUUUUUCUAAUUUGAGAAAGAGAGAGAGGUGAGCAAUCUAUUCAGAUCUUUAGCGAAUUGUGAUAGUAGGAUCUUCAUCUCUAUUCGUUGUUUAGAGUGGAGUGCUUUGAUGAGAAAAUGGUGAUUUUGUGAGUAUUUCUUCUCUAAAAAUCAAUAUCAGAAUAUUUGGUUUUCUCAUCACGAAAUUUUUUUUGGUCUUGUAAUGCUAUUGAAUUGAAUUGUUAGUGGUUAACUUGCAAAUAAAGAUUGACUUCUGAUAUUAAUAAAUUGUUAUUUUCUAUAACAAUUUUAUUUUUUUUUAAAUACUCUACUUUAUUUUGAUAAUAAAGAAUAUGUAGUAGUCUUAUAUUGUAGAAAAUUUAAUAAUAUAUCCAAUGUUUAAUCAUUAAUUUCAAUAUUUCAAUAUUUAAUUUAAUCAUUAAGAUUGAUUCUCCUCAAUUCUUUCAAGUGUAAGGAAAAAAAUGUAUAAUCUUUCCAAUAAACUAAUAAUGAAUCAAAUGAUUACAUUUCUUUAUUUUAUUUUGCGAUUUGAAUGUAUUGUUUUUUAAAUGCCAUUUUUUUAUUAGUUUUUAAUAACAGUGAGAUAAAAAAAAAUAUUAAUUUAGGUCUAAUGAGCUUUUUUUUUCUUCAGUAUUUAUCAUUUUAUUCAAUAAAAGAUAAAGGUUUCUAACUACUUUUCCACCAGUGAGAUCAACUUUGUUUGGACAAUAGAAUAUUCAAUCUUGAUUUGGUUAUGACAUCAUAUAGGGUUAAUAUGAUCAAGCACAAAAAUAAAAAUAAUAGAUUUGAGAGGCAGAUCUCCCAGUAGAGAAUAUAAUAGUGGUGACCAUCAAAUAAAUGGGGUCAUGCCUUGUGCUCUUUGAUUCAAAGGCCCCACAGAAAAUAAAUAAAAAUAAACAAAGAGAAUUAAAUUUAAAAAGAAAAAAAAAAAAGCUAUUACUUUUUACAAGUUCUACCUAUAUUCUAUGGCCAUUUAGAUGAAAUCCUAGUUAGAUUCACAACUCUAAUACUCCCAUCAUAAGCAUCACGAGCUCUAUAGAUUAUAUAAUUUAGCCUUUGGUGAUUGAUUUUGGAGUUUUUCAUGAUUUACUAUUUAUUUCAAUAUGAUGGGUUGCCAUGGGUUCAAUCUUUAGAUUGACUCAAUAAAAGGAACAAGUAUCUAAUUAAAUAGAAUCAGAUUUUAUUAGGACAAUCUAUCUCAACUUCUGUUGAAUGCUUUGAUCCAAGUUUAACAUUAAUUCUGAAAUCUAUUAUUACAUAGUAUAUUUCAUUAUCAUUGUUGUUAUAGAUGGUUGCUUUGUAAAUUUUAAGUUUAAAUGAGGUCAGAUGGAUUAUUAAUUUGAAUUUAUAAACUUCAACUUUUCUCUAUUGAGCUUUAGGUUCUUAUCAAGAUUGACAAGGUGUGUCAUCCCAAGAUGUGAUACAUCUGUGCAUUAAUAUAUGCAUUCAUAUAAAGCUAAAAAAAAUUAAGUCAAAUAAAAUAAAGAAGUAAUUUUUUCUUUCAUUUUUUAUCCCUUUUAUUUUCCUUCAAGUUUUUUGAAAUCUAAUGAAGCUAAACUUAAAUGCAUGACUCCUUUUAAAUGAUGAAAUUCUUUUUCUUGUUAUAUUUCUAGAAUUAUAUUAUCAACAAUCAUUUCUAUAUGCUUUUUUCUUAUCGUUAUAGCAAAAAAUAUAAUUACAAGUGGAAGGGACAUCAUUUCCUUCAUCUACUCUCUUAUUUAUAAGGUUUCUUACAAAUGAGAAUGUAUCCAAUUGUUGGUCUUGCUAGAAGUUUUGGAAGGUCCAAGAAUGCACAAAAUAACAUCGUUUUGACAAAUUAUGACCACAUACACAUACAUGGUGUUAAUAGGAUUGUUGGAAUCCUAUGCUUAUAUUUUUCUUGGUUAAGCAUGUGAUUUGCUUUAACACUCUUCCAGAUGUAGGGAUAUUAGUAUGUGAAUUGAUUUGUAUGUUUUUAAAAAAUAAAAUAAAAAUCUAUUUGAAUAUAUAUUUUUAGUAGAGUUUAUACAUUCUUGGCCCAUGGAAAUCUAGAAACUUUUGUUUUAGUGAUGUUUCUAGCUUGCUUAUAAGGAUUUACAUAGUUGCUUCUAGAAAAGCCUUUCAAAACUUCAUAUUUUUUCUAAUCUUUAAAGAGACUUCAAAGUUUUAACCCUUUCUUGAUAUAUAUUGAGAUGCAAAUGACAUCUUAGAUGAGAUUUGGUCAUAAGAGAUAAAUUUGAUUGAAAAUUCUAUUUCCAGUUGUCUAGACUUGUAAUUUAAAAUCUUGCUACCAUCUUCAUAUACUAGCUAGCUAUUCGAUCAUUUUAUUUACAUAAGAUUUGCAAUGCAUUUAUUUACUCUGCAUUACCAUUGACAUUGAUAGUACAUUAUUGUUAUUAUUGCCCCUACAUGUUCUUAAUAAUUUGUCCAUCCAAUCUUAAAUUAAUGCCCUUUGAUGUUCUAUCUUGCGUAAUGUAUCUAGAAAAUGAUGAGUUUUGUUCCUACAAAGUCUAAUUAUGUUCACACACUUUUCUAGAAGGAGGCGUAGCAUUCUAUAACAAAGGAAUGUUUAAACUAUAACUAAGAUUAAAAAAUUUGUCAAACUUUUGAGCUACAUAUAAUUUCAUUAUCUUAUUUGUAUAAGCAUGAAAAAUAAAGAUUAUUAGUAUCUAUUAUAUACAAAGUAUUGAAAUUUCAUUUAUUGAUGUUUAUGUCUUUGCAUUCUCUGUAUAAUAUGAUAUUUAUAUGCAAAUUUAGAUAACAGGUUGCACAUGUCAAUGAAAUUAACAGAAAAAAAUGGUACUUUUUACGAAAUCAAAGUUUACAUGCCAUGACACUUAAAAAAGUGUCAAGGUUGACGUGAAUAUACAAGGACACUUCUAAAGAGCGUCAUGGUAGGUGUAAACACCUUUUCUCAGAUGACCUAGUGCCAAGGGCCUUAUGGGCGGGCACAUUGUGCCCAUGAGGACCUUGAGAGUGAAAUAGGGCAGAGAAUGAUGCAAGUGCAAUGCAUGCAGCCUAACUGGUGCGGUAUGAGUAGCACUUGGGAAGGCAUGAGUGGCUGCAUGUAGCAUAACAGUGUGUUGUAGUUAACACAACUACAUUCAUAGCAGCAUGCCACUUGUAUCCUAGUAGUGUGUCACUUAUGGCAUAACAAUGGCAACACUUUGACUCAAACUAUAUGGCACCAAGGCCUCUUGGGGUAGCACCUUAGCUCCAUGAGUGACCGGCCUAUGAUAAAGGAAAAGAGGGAAUGGAGGCUAGCGAGGGGCAACAUGUGACACAACCUCAACUCGGGCAAAAUUCAAGUGUUGAACUUUGGCUAGGCGAUAUUUUUACUUUGAAGAGGAACCUUUAAAAUGAAGACUGUAAGUGGAAUUGGAAUUUUUUUAUUAAUUAAAAGUAAUUAUGACUCCUUAAGCAUGGAUAAUGUCUCCUCUAAAAAUUUCGAAAGAUGACAUGAAAUGUUCUUUAGGAAAAUGGGGAUGAGUUGCUUAAAGAAGACAAUGUGGCAUGGGCAUGGCCUCACCUAAGGGCUUUGGUGCUAAGCCUAGCUCAGACAUGAGCAAGGCACAUAGGGCAAGCCUUGUUAGCACUCACACAUGGGCUCCAUGGCAUGUGGUAGUGUGCAACCCAUGGUUGCAAUAAUAUGGGAUGCAAUGUAAUCUCUAUUGGCAUCUUAGAUCUAAGCAACGGAAGCAACACCAAUUUUUCAAAAAUUAAUCUUUAGGAUUAAAAUACCAACCUUUAGUUUUGGAUAUUCCCAAACCUUAAAUCUAAGUAUUGAAUAAUCAAAUCGAUGUCGUCGAAAGUCUUGUAGACCCAAGAUCUUCUGUUUGAUGACUCUUCCUUAAUCUUGGUACGCUUUUAAUAGGAGAAAAUAGGGUAGAGGCUAUGACUCUCUUUCUCUCUGGAGGUGGAAGACAACUCUAUGGAAACCCUAACCCUUAAGGGAAUAUUUAUAAGGUUCCCCAUUUGGCUUAAGUGACUUCAGCCCAUUAAGGGUUUGGGUCACUUAAUCUAACCCAAAAUGGGUCUUGAUUGAUUAAUUAACCUAAUAAUGCCUACUAAUUUAUUAGUUUGCCCAAUCUAGAUGCCUUGUUCACUUACCCCUAUGCAAACCUAUGUAAUUAUCAAAAUGCCCUUAUGCACAAAAGUGAACCUAGAACCAAUCUAACCCUCAUAAAUCAUGCUAAUAAGGUAUAUGAGUUGGAACAGGGACCAUUGGGACCCAUAAGCCAGUAUUAGCUCCCUUAGAAUCUAAUUCCAAAGUUGAUUCAACAUCCAACUAUAGAGAAUCAACUAUAUUCUAGUAUCGUAUCUAAAUAACAAUGAGACACAUAGUGCUUGGGUCCAUGACCUACUAUCCAUUGCAUUCAAUUUUCCGAUGAAUUGGUGUUCAUAGUAUAAGAAGGUGAAAGCUAUUAGCCUUUUAAGACUAUUCUAUUAUCCAUGAGUUAAAGAUCCUCUUAUUAUGUGAUCAACUAACAUAUCUUUGCAAAGCAUCCCAAGCUUCUUUGGACUUUGUUGCUAUUCAAAUUCAAGAAAAUAUAGUUUUUGAAACUACUUAUUGGAUAAAAAACCCGCCUUAGCAUCUUUCUUGCAUACAUCAUUAAUAACUUUAUAGAAAUCUUCUUUUCUUCAUAACCCUUAUCCACAACCUCCCAAAAAUCUUCAGAGUUAAAAGGGGUCCUCAUCUUUGUGCUCUAAGCAUCAUAUCCACUUCCUUGAAAAAGUGGAAUGGUAGGUUAGAGUUAGGGGUCCUCAUCUUUCUUUCCAUUUGAUUAACCUAGCUCUAAUACUAGAUGAUAAUUCAAAGGAAGUUGUCUUCUCUACAACUAUCAAGAAGAAAGAAGUAAAAAAUAAAAUAGAGCAAAAAAACCUUUGGAUAUGCCAAGAAGUGUAAUUGAAAUCACUUUUUUAUUCAUGAAUUUGCAUUUAAAUAGACAAUAGAAUUUUAAUAGACUCCUAACUAAAUUAACCAUUAGCCCACCAACACUAACCCAUUAAUACACAUAUAUAGGAAUGGUUCUAAAACCUAAGCUAACACUAACCAACUAAUACAUGUAGUUAGUACUUCCUAAAAAUUAGGAUAUCAUAUACUAUAUCUUAUUUGACUCAAACUAAAAUUACAUUAACUAACCAAUAAAAUAUCAACAUUAACUCCAACAUUAAUAAGUUCAAUUUUGAGGGGAUAAAGACAAAUCCAAUGAAUCUAUCAUUCAUUUUCAAAGGGUUGGACUUCAAUUCCCUGUCAACCACUUCAUCUCUAUAACAAAUCUAAAAAUUAUGUUGAAUGUGUUAAUGGUAAUACUCUUAUUUAUGUUUUUGGUUUACUUAAAUUAUUUUUUUUGUUCAAGUUUGUUAUUGCUGCAUUGUUUUUUUUCAAUUACUUCUUAUUAUACUUUUUAUCAAUGAAAAUGUAUGAGGAAUCUAAUGUUCAAGCUUUCAUUCAUCUUUGUCUAAUGCAUUAUUUUUCUCAACUAUUAAUCUUAAGUCCUACAAACAAGGUUAAUCAUAUCAUAUCCUAGAGUAAGAUAUCUCAGGUGUUCACAUUUUCUUCUUAAUAAUUGAUAUACCUUUACCUAGAUUUAUUUGUUUAUUUACUUAUUCAAUACUUCUAAAUCCAUUAAUUUCCUUUAUUAAGAUUUUUGUGUUUGCUUUAUUGCUUUUUUUUUUUUUCCUAUAGGCAUCAACAAAUGCUAGAUGCGAUGCUUCCUUUGAGAAUGGGAUGCAUGUAAAAUCACUAUAUGAUGCUUAGAAAACCUCUUGUCCUUAGGCAAUGUGCAAUGGUGAGAAGCAUUCCCCAACCUAAAUCCAAAUCUAUCUUCAAAACUAAUAAUAGGAAAAUGAAGGAAAAAGUAACCAAUGCCUUCACAAUAAGAUAUCCAAGUGGUACAUAGAGAGAAACAUGUUAGAUUAAUUUUUGUAAUUAAUCUAUAAUUUGGGCCACACAUGUAAAUAAUUAAAAUGUGUGUGCUAUUAUUUAAUUAAGCCUAAAUAUAGUGAUCUAAUUAAUAAUUGAUUAAUUGGCUUAAGGGUAUAAUUGUCAUGAGAUUAUUGUGUAGAUACCAUUAGACAAUUAUUAUUUCUAUGAGGGGCAGAAAUAUAAUUGUGAUAAAAUUAAAACUGCCCUAGCAGUUUAUAAAUAGGGUUAUGGUCCCCAUUCUACGACUACGCAUUCCAAUUUCUGAAAAUCCUCUCAGAGAGAAAUUGACACAGAAUCUAGUGGCUAGAAUUGGAAGACCAUCUCAAAGGGUUUUCUUCCUAUAAGGUUUCUCCUUCAAUGGAUUCAGGUAUGCUUCCGCUAUUAUUUUUCUACUCAUUUUUUAAUCAGGAGAUUCCAGUAUAUAUGAAAUUAGGGUAUUCAUCUUGGUUGAUUUUUUAACAAGACUAUUCCAGUAUAUAUGAAAUUAGGGUAUUCAUCUUGGUUGAUUUUAACAAGACUAUUCCAGUAUAUAUGAAAUUAGGGUAUUCAUCUUGGUUGAGUUUUCACAAAACAUACUACCAUAGUGCUCUUGUUCACUACUGAUUAUAAGACAACAGAAAGAAAACUUGGAAGCUUCAAACAAUCACUCCAUCAUGCUUUAGAAUUUCCAUAUUUCUAGUUUUUCAUAUAUUUUCUAGCACAUUUAAGAGCACAAGGUGAAACAACAAUUCAACAAUGCUAAAAAUUUUACCUAGUUUGUAGUUGCAUUGGCAAGUGGAAGCAUAGAGUGAUCCCUGAACUAGGAUUAAGAUGGCAUAGAGCAACCAUAAAACUAUGAGUGAAAAUAUGGUCAAUAAAGCUUUUUUUAUUUAUUUAUGUAAAUAACCUUCCUUGAUGGGGAAAACAAAAGGAUUGAUUGGCAUAUUAUGUGGUAGAAACAACCAAAUCUCUAUUCAAAUGAGGAACUUAGAACAAAAAAACUAUAGCGAGACCUUCUUUGGCAUACUUUCUAUGUUAUUUGUAUUAAUCUUAAGAUCACAGUGGCGUGCAACUAUGCUUUUCAAGUGAUGGAUUAUGCUCAAAUGAAUAUAUUUUAAUAUUAAGAAUUUGUUCCUUAAUCAAUUAGAACAUACACACAUGAUGAAUUCCUUCUUUUGUAAAAAGAGAUUUUCUCUUGUGAAGCAAUCAACCUUGAAACUUUUUUCCCUGGCUAAGAGAAACGGAAUCCUAUUGUUAGAAUUAUCAAACUUGAAAAAUCCAUUUAGUGGAUAUGUGUCAAUUUUUCUGACCUUUGAUGCCAUUCAUGCAUAGCGGUUUUUUCUUUUUACAAGGAACUCAUGGUAGACUUCUUACAUUGUCAUUAAAGGAGGUGAUCCACUUAAUUGAAAACAGAUUAAAAUGUGAACAUAACUUACAUAUAUUUCAAGUGUUCAACUGUAAAUGUUUCCAUGCAAGGAUUGUAGACCAUACUUUAUUAGAUAAAUUUUUCCUCAAACUUUGUAAAUGUGUUUAUGUUUCUUGGUAUAUCAUAUGCAGUUUUAAACUAAGUGCAGAUCUUUCAACUUUCUAUUUUCAUUAUAAUACUUUUCUUAGCAAUUGUUGUUAUUACUUGAGCUUCAUGAACUUAUACAGUAUUUGAGUGAAUCCACUUCCUCCUUCAAACACCAAAAAUAAGGGAAACUAAAUCAAAGAAUGGAAACUCAACCACAUUUAUACAUUAUGAGAAGAGGGGUCUCAUCUCUAUUUCAACUCUAUUCCUAGUUUUUUGAAAUUUCCUUUAAAUAUAUUGAACUAAUCAAUUAUAAAUACAUAAUCGGAUAACUAAAGGAAGUUGAGUGCAAUAUGUUUCCAUUUUGUUCCUAUUAUUUUAACUUAGAAAUUAAGUGGUGUUAGGUGAAUAGAAUUUAUCUAAACAUUAAAUAUGGUACAAAACAAGAGUUCAUACCAUUGAUACUCACCAAUAUUCACAUGAACAUCGUCAUUUAAUUUAACAUAGAAUUCACUAUCUCAACUAUUAGCAAUGUGGUCAAAGAAAACCUUGGACUUCUAAGGAAGCUCUUCAAGUUCCUCUACACAGUUAUCCUAUUAAGAAAAAAGUGCAAAUGAUUAAAUAAUUGAACACAUCUUCUUUAGAUUUCAACUCUAAAUCUCUGUUUCCCUAAGUGUUGUUAGACUAAUAAACCUAAAAUGUUAAAAAAUGAUUUGUUUCUAUUCUCAAUUCAAUGACACUUGUAUAUACCUUUCUUUUAUAAGGCAAAACAUAUAUUAUUAUAAUUCAAGAAUCUACUUCAAACUCAAAUAUCAAAUUGAUUUCAAUUUAAUAAGUGAAACAAGAAAAGUAUUUGUCCUUUAGAGUAGCAAAGAAUUUGUAAUAAAUUUUAAUCACAUUGGAUGCACGUGUCAUGAGUGGUUUGUGGAAAGACUCAUACUUUUUCAACUCAUUGGUUUAAGAGAACUCUAGUUUUAUCUAAACAAAUAUAGUAUUCCUUUCUUAUAUAUAUAUAUAUAUAUAUAUAUAUAGAUAAGGAGCACAAGAAAUUUGCAAAAAUGAGAUAAUAAAUAGGAAUCAGAUUCAUCAAAUUUUGUUGCAUCAAUGUUCAUAUGUUUACAUCGUAACUUGGCCCUAACAUAGUUCAAGCCCUCAAUUUACACAAAGUAAUUCAUUUUUCAAACUUUUCUUAUGAUUAACACUCAUAUUUUCUUUAUAGAAUACAAAAUGGUUAUGUUAUGGAAUGGACAUUGCUAAUUAGUUAAGUUCUUGUUGAAACAAUUGUCAAGUUUGUCUUAAUACCAAAUCUUAAUUCAUUGAAUGACUAACAAAUAAGGUCCUCGCAAGCAUAGAAAAUAAAAAAACAAGGUUCUUAUUUCCUUAACUAAUUUAUGGUUAUGAUAUCUAAAACAUUGCAUUAAGGCUCUGGUAUUAGCCCAACCAAUUCUUACUUGCUUUUCCACUUCUUUUUUUUUGGGUCUUUUGUUUUUUGUGUCAUAUGGUGACAAUGAUGUUUGGAUUUCAUCUGCUUACAACAAAACCUUAUUAUAUUUCACUUCGCUAAAAAUCAUCUUUAAAAAAAUUCAAAGAUUUUUAAACCUUAAUGAUUAUUAAUUUUUUUAGUAAAAGUUAACAUGUUUAAUCAGGCCCUUAGAUUCUAGAACAUUUAAAUUUAUUUUGAAUGACAUAAUGUUUUAAAUUCUAAAGGUAUGCAUGCAUGGUAUGUUUAAUAAUAGGAAUAAAAAGUAAAUUUCAAGAAUUAUUAGUAAAUCAAAUUUGAAAAAAAAAAUGGUUUUCCUAUCUUAAGCCUUAAGUUUAAAUAAUUUUAAAAUAAAAAUGAAAGGGAAAAAAUGAUAAUCAUUUUCCAUUUAUUUACAUUUGAUUGAAAUGCAAAUAUAAAUAUAUGUACAAAGCACUACUACAAAAAUUGUAUAUAAUGACGUUCUCUUCCUUGGUGCUUUUAAAAAGUGUCAAUAUUUAAUACAAUUUGUAACACACAAUGACACUUGGCAGAGACCUGAUUGAUUCAUGCCCAAUUGGUGUCUCAGCUGAUCCAUGUCCAGCUGGUGCUCCUUGGAUGAGGGAGUAAUCAACAAAAUUUAUACCUAUAACACCAUACACUAGGGUAGAAAAUAAAAAGCUACUAUAGUAUAGUGGCUCUAGGAUCGUUCACUGGGAAUGAUGAACAAGCAAUCAAUGAUACCAAUUCCAAGUGAAUUGGUCUUGUUUCAUUUCAAGGUUAGCUUAAGAAAUAAAACACAAACUUUGAUUGGUAAAGGUUUAGACUUAAACUAACUAACAUAACAGAAGUUUGGAAUAAUUUAGGAAGAAAAGCAUUCCCUGGAGAGUUAGGUUCACUGGGGUGGUUCCUUAUGCAAAAGACAUAGCUCCGGUCAGAUGGUUCAUUUCCUCGCGUUAGAGAUUCAACAUAUAGUCAAUUCUCUAACCGGUGAUGUACAGAGACUCCUUCAAUUAGAUUUCACUUUAAUUCUCUCACUGAUGCAACUUGCAAUGGUUCAUGCCUCUCACGAGCACUUACCAUUCAAGAUGAUCUUUAACCUUGGACUUCCCUUCACAAACUCGCAAGAGAUAACUAAUGGAUGUCUCCUAGGAGUCCAAAAGCUUACCAAGUGUUGGUAAUUCUAGAAAAUCCUACCUUAAAGUCACCUCCCAGAGGCUCGCAAGGGGCAAACUAGUGCAUUUCCAUGAUUGGAAAUCACUUGCCUUACCAAGUGUUGGCCCAGGUGACUCUAAGGUGUUUUAAGUUAACUAAAAACAUUGAAAUCAUUAAAGGAUUUCACUUCCUCUUCAUUACUAGCUAAAACCACAAAGCUUUGCAUUCUUGCACUUGGAACCUUCCCCGACAACCUUAGCUCCAAGGAAUUAGAGGUUUAGUUACUCAUUCUCUGGGGAAAACUCCUCAAAGAAUUCAUAACUUAGAAAUAAAAUGAAAAUACAAAGUGAGAAGGUAAGGCAGUAGAAAGAAAAUGAACUUUACUUGCUUACCAAAACUUUACAGAAGGAACUCCUCUCCGAGAACAGGCUCUCGAGAGGUAUAUAUAUCAACAUAAUAUAAAACUAAUUGUUACAAAGAUAUUUAGUCUUUUUACUAACUUAAAAACUAAGGAAUCAUGUAAUUGGUGGUUUACAAGGAGUAUUUUGGGAUUUAGACAACAAAAAUCUAAUGGAAAAUAUCUCCCAAUGUCGGUAGCAAACUUCGGGAGGCUCCAGGAACCAUUUCGCAGGAGAAAAAUGGUGUCUGCGAAAUUUCGCAGACACUCAAGAGGGCUGCGAAAUUAUUUCGCAACACCAAGCUAUCUUCACAGGGUUGCGAAGUUGGCUUCCACCAUGAGGUUCCUAGCUUCCUUCUCGCGGCAUAAAUCGUGCAUCGUCAGAAGGAGAAACACCUUACUGUACAAAAAUGUUGCGAAAUCACUUCGCAACAAAAGGGUGAUUUCGCAGCACUUUGCAAAAUGCUUCCUUCAGCUCGGAGUGAUUGGCUUGUAAUGGCUGCAACUUCUUCGUUUCAACUCCGAAUUGCACACCGUUUGAAUCAUUGGAUUGUUGACUUCCUGAUCUUUGAAAUGGUAUAUAGCAUGCAUCAUUUAGACUUCAGAAAGUGCUCCAAAAGUGGCUGCUACGACUGUCAUCAAGAAUAUGCUUUCUGGCAGAUUCUCUUUGCUUUUUCUCCUUGCAAUCCGGAUUUACUCUUGGCAAAUGACUUCUAAGCUUUGCCCAAGAUUCCUCAUAGCUCUCCUCAGUCUUGACUUGCUUUGGUGAUCAAAAUACUAACAAAAACACCAAAACUUACACAAAGUGAUCAAAAUUGCUUUAAAGGAUCCUUAACAUGCCAAUUGAGUUAAAAGGCCUAAACUACUACUCAAAAGUGUUUAAAAGGAUUAAUUAUAGGCUAUCAAAUAGCACUUUUUGAGUAGUAAUCACUGAUAUAUUAUGGCGCUUACUUUAGAAAUUCUUGUCACUUCCUACAAGCUUUCUUAAAUAAUUCCCGUUUUCAUUUCCUUGGCGCUUUGUAAAACGUCAUUUCUUAACACCCUAUAUAUACCCAUUUCUGAAAUUUUAUCCAUACCACCAAACAGGUCAAGCUCCCUUUCAUACCCACCAAAUAGAUUGAUGAGAUACUAAAGAUCUACCAACGGUAUCUUUUUCACAACGGUACCAACGCUCGUGGCAAUCCAUGAACGAUCUCUUUGUCAUGCUACUCUCUAACACAUCAUUUGACUCUGGUCAUUUCACACUUUACACCUCUUUUCCAUUCCUUGCGUAUUAUUUCACUAUAUUUUCUUCUUGUCCUUGAGCCCUAUUCUUCCAAUCUACACCUUUUGUUUUAUUUAGAUUCACGCUGAAACUGAAGAUCAAUAAUCUCGUUUUCUGUAAGAUCUCGAUUUUUUUUAUUUCAUCUGGUUCGUUAAUCUUUCCUUCUUUAAGACCGUUUGAUUUUUUUUUUUUUUUUUUUUUAUAAUUUGUUUAGAAUUUGUAGAUUUGCUGAAACUAAAGAUAGCAAUUUCGUUUUCCAUAAGAUCUUAAUUUUUUUUCUAUUUCCCUUGGUUUGUAGAUCUUUCUCUCUUAAGGCAUUUGAUUUUUUUUUCUUUAUUUGUUUGAGGUUUGCAAAUUUGUUGAAACGGAAGAUAACAAUCUUGUUUUCUACAAGAUCUCACUUUUUUUCUAUUUCUCCUGGUUUGUUAAUAUUUCCCUCUCAAGGCAUUUGAUGUUUUUUUUUUAAUUUUAAUUUGUUUAGAGUUUGUAGAUUUGGUAUAAUUGUUUGAGUAGUGGAUUUGCCUGUGAUGAGGGAAGUUGUUGGGAAAUUUUGCAAUUCUUCAUAAAUUAAUCGGUGCAAGCUUGAGCUAAUCUCAGUUCUCUCUUGUUUAUGCCUUUCAUUUUUCUUUUAAUUCCAAUUCUUAAGAAACUAGAUUGAUGACAAAUUGUAUUGCAUGUUGCUUAUUUGGUUGAGUUAUUGGCAUAUUAUAGUAGGACACAUGUAGAUUAUUUUUGCAAAGUCAAAGAGAAUGCAUUAAAAUCUUGGAGGGUCAUUUAGUAUCUUUGAUUGCCUUCCAACUAAUGAAUUUGAUAUUAUUAUUAUUAUUAUUGGUGUUAAAGGGAAGAUAAAAUUUAUAAGUAUUGGUGUAUUUGGAGGUUAAAACCUUCUAAAUAUGUAUAUUUUUUUUUUCUGUAAUUUGAUUUUAAAAAAUAAUAAAUUUACUUGGUCCUUUGUUGAGUAAGAUGUCCAUGUGAUCUCUGAUUUCUUUUUUCAUCCUAAGUACUAAUCCUACUAAAUGACCUAACUCCUAUUUUUCCCUUAUAAUUACUUUAAUCAUGUCUCCAAAUGAUACUAAUGUUACUAUUUUAAAUAGAGGAAAAUUUUGAAUUAUAAAUAAAAAAAAUUUCAAUAGAAAAAAAUUGAAGUCAUUGUGCUAAAAGACUAAAAUCACUAUUAGAAAGUAAAGCUAGAGCAAAAACAAAGAAGGAAAAAGAUAAGAAAUUGAUAGCUCCAAAAUCUAGAACAAGAUCCCCAUUUUCUCUAGUACUCCCCUUUUUAUAUUCAACAUUGUUUAUCAACUAACCAAUAGAAUCCUAGGGUGAAAAGUUGAUUUUCCCUUAAAUCAUUCUCUUGGCAUAUCCUAGGAUUCAAAAUGUUUGAAAACAUAAAUAAAUAAAUGAGCUGCUCAACUUUCACCAUCCCCCACCAAAGAUUGGCAUUGUCCUCAAUGUCAAAGAAGUGAGUAGAAAGAGUUGAGGAGCAACUUUAUGCAUAGAAAAAGAAACUUAAAUAAGAACAUAAAAAUUAAAAGGAAAAAAAAAAAAAAAGAAAGAUUACCUAGUAUGGUGCAAUCCAAGGACAACAUUGUCAUAAAUCACUCGAGUAAAUGAGAAGUAAAACUUAUCAAUAUUUAUUUCAUGAGAUAUCCUACUACAAGUCGUGAAGUGUACAACUUGGGAAUGGGGAAAGGAACUUCAGUUUUGUAGAUGGUUGCAACAUUUGACAAGGAAUUUGGAAAGGUAUUAAAUAUUUAAAGUUUCAUAUUUGAGUGUCUCUUUUGGUUCUCUCGAUUACUGAAUGUAUUUGCAUUUAUUAUUUUUCAAAUUUUUGUUUUCUUCAUUUGAAUAAUUUCUUGGAAUAUUCCAUUGACUACCCUAGAUUGAAAUAUAAGACAUGUAGUUAUUAUAAUCACCUAGAGUUAUACUUCGUUUGGCAAAUUUGAGUGGCAUGUGGAUUUGGGCCUUAAAACCCCAAAUACUAUGUUUGAAGUUUGACUAUCAAGAGUAGAGUACAGAUUCUUCCCAAUCCUAAAGUUUGUAUGCUCAUUCAAAUGAGCUUUACCAAGAAGGUUGGAAACUUGGCACAGAGUAAAAUGAGUUUAUGGUGUAAAGUACCUCAUCCAUUACUAUCCUAAGAAAUGUCAUAUACCAAUACAAGUAGUUGAAUUCUAAUUUUUCAAUUUUGAAUCAUCAUAUAUAUCUGUUCCUUAAAACCAAGCAUAUUACUAUUGACCAAUCUGCUUAACCUCAUGACUUGUAGGAAAAAAUUUAUGCUAGUUUCUUUACCAAAUAUAUACCAUUUUAUUGGCACUAAGGUUUUCUUCUUAAUUAUCCUGAUGAAUGCAUUUUUUUUGUUAUUUUCUUAUUCCAGGAAAUUCCUUCGAUCAUGGUUGGAUGGAGACUUGGUGAUGUUGAGAUUGUUUAUGCAUUAACCAAAGUAGAAAAAAAAAGGGUUAAAUUGAAAGGAAGUCCUAACCUACAUGCAAACAUUGAAUUUAUUUUAUUUUAUUCUUUUUCUAAUGCAAAAUUUCAUAUACCAAUUUGAUUUCCAUUACAUCUUGAUAUAGUAUAAACUAGCUAUUCUUUGUUUCUUAAAAUUAGUAUGCUUAAGAUUCAAUUUAGGCUCCUCUUUCUUUUUAGUUCUUACUUUUUUGUUAUUUCAGUUGUAGAAACAAACAAAAGAGUCUUUAUUCCAUCUUUUUCCUGUAUAUAUAUACCCUUCCUUUAUGCAUGUUUCUUAUGAUUUGUGAAGUGGGAUUUUGAUAUUUUUGGCUUUGGAAAAAAUGGAAAAGUGGGGUUUUCUUCUCAUGCUUUCUGCUUUCUAUUAUAUUGUUUGGUCCAUUGAUUAAUGGAGGAAUGACCAUGGCUUAUAGAGGCUAAUAGAUCAUAAGAGUGGGGAUAUGUUUUGUUCUCGUUCAAAAUUGAGAUAGGUUUGCUAUGUUGUUCAAUACUCGAGUUUUGGAUUUAUGCUUCUAGCAUAUUCCACAAAGAAUUUGGGAAAUGACACUGACGGGCCUAGACACUACUUCACUGGAUGAUGAAGUAAUUUUAAGUUGGCAAUUUGGGCAAUUUUAUCAAAGCUAAAUUCCUAGUUGCUAAAUAAUGUGGGCAAUUUUAUCAAUCCAAUAUUGAGUUUCAUCACUAAAGCUCUAGGUUAGUCAGAAGCUUGUAGAAAUAAACGUUUUGAGCUCCUAAGAUAGAUAUUUUGUUUCUUUUUCUUUAUUUGAUUUAAAAUAGGAGUAUUUUAUUCAUGAAAAAUACAUAAUACAAAGAAUAGAAGGAGGAGAGAUCAUGUCUAAUUUUUAUUUUUUAAGUGGGCUUUUAUUUAAAGUCUUUUAAGGUCUCUUAAAUAUUAAAUAUAUAAAUUAUUUUAUUGCUAAAAGUUACUCUAGAUGGUUGACUAAAAACAACUAAUACUAGUUUAAAAUUUUAAAAGUUUCACUAUUCUUCAUGUAGGUUCAUAAAUUUGUGUUCUCCUUCUCUCCCUACCAUGUUUCUAUUUUUUUUUUUAUAUUUGAAAAAUAUUUAUUUCUAAUAAAUGACAAGAGAUCCAACUUAAUAUUUAUUUCUAAGAAAAAAAAACAAGAGAUCUAAAUUUCAAUGUUUUAUAAUUAUAAAUCUUCAUGCAUGUUUAGUGCAAUGAGAUGUAGUGGUUAAACAAAGUGGUCUUCUAUUUUUGAUAUAGGAAAAAAAGGUUAUCCUUUUAUAUGGCAAUUAGGAGUAGGAGGUAAUAAUUGUGACAACUAGGAGUAGAGGCUUAGAUGCACAUAAGACAUUGUUUUUAAAGGGAAGUAUUUCCUACUAUUUCUGAAGGUACGUAACCCACCACUAUACUAGAAACUUCUCUCUCAAAGAUAGAUUAGCUUGAAAGAAUGACUAAAUAGAAGAUAAAAUUUUAUUUCUAUUAUUACUUUAUACAAUUUAAUUAUUUACUUUUAUAAUUGCAUAAGAGCUUUAUGAUAUUCUAAACAUGACAAUGCUACAUUUCAUAGUUUUGUUGAAAUAAAGUAUAAAAAUAAGUUUAUAUUUCUUAUCCUUGGAUUUUUGUCAUACACUCACCUAAUAAUUUAUAUUUUCAAAAACUUUGAACAAUCUCUUCUUAUGAACCCGAGAAAAAUAAAAAAUAAAGGAACUAGAAUAAAAGUAAAAACUAAUCAAGUAAAUAAAAAAUAAAAAUAUAAGAAAUUAAAAAUAAAAAUUAAUGUUAACAUAGUGAUAAUAAGAUGGUUUUCAUCUUAUUUGGACCUUGGUAUUUUUUUUGAAUUGUACAUUGUAGGUCUUUUGUUAUUCUUUUAUUUGAUAAUGUUUUAAGAGUUCACUAUUAAAAUGUAGGGAAUUAAACCGAAUUCCCAACCCGUGAGGAACAAAAAUUAGAGAAAACACAAGCCAAAGAAAAAACAAUCACACGCACAAGACAGUAUUUACGUGGUUCGGCAAUUUGCCUACAUCCACGGAGUUGCAGAGAUAUCACUAUUAUAAGGGAAGAAUACAGAGUACAACAUAGCGGCUACAAUAUUCUCUCUAUAUAUAUAACACGACAACACCACCACACUAAAAAACCCUAAUUACAAAAGGUGGUUCCACAAUGGGCUAAACGGGCCCAACAGGCGUCAAUAAAUCUCCCAUUAAAAAGCCAUGCAAUAUUAUUCGGGUCGGGUCGUCAAAUCGGAUCAAACAAAACUAGGCUCCACAAAGCCCAACAAAUCUCCCACUUGGAGACUAGUCCAAUCACCAACAUCAAACUGCUAUCCUCCAAGAAACAAUCCCUCAUCCCUACAACUCAUCCUCCUGUUCUCAAGCUAGAAGACCAAUUGAAGCUACGCACAGCUUCAACUUCUCAAUAGUGACACCCUUAGUCAACAUGUCUGUAGGGUUCUUAGAUCCAAAAAUCUUCUCAAGUAUUACCAGUUUAUCCUCAACAAGAUAACGGAUAAAGUGGUAUUUUUUUUGUAUAUGUUUCGACUUUGAAUGAAAAGCCGAAUUUUUGGCAAGACAAAUUGCACUCUGACUGUCACUGUGUAGAAUGCCCAUCUCCUGCUUCUUACCCAAUUCAUCUAAGAAACCAUGUAGCCAAAUCAUCUCCUUUCCAGCUUCAGUUGCUGCAACAUACUCAGCUUCUGUAGUAGACAAAGUAACAAUUUUCUGUAGAUUUGAAAUCCAUGAUAUAGUUGUACCACCUAGAGUAAAAACAAACUUAGUAGUACUCUUUCUACUAUCAAUAUCACCAGCAAAAUCAGCAUCUACAUAACCCUACAGUUUCAAACUUGCACCUAUGAAGCAAAGACAUGUAUCUAAUGAACCCUUCAGAUAUCUUAGAAUCCACUUGACUGCCUCCCAAUGCUGCUUUCCAGGCCUACUCAUGAAUCUGCUCACAACUCCCACUGCAUGUGCAAUGUCUGGCCUUGUACACACCAUAGCAUACAUCAAGUUGCCAAUAGCCGAGGCAUAGGGCACCUUGCUCAUAUGGUCCCUUUCUUCUUUUGUCUUCGGUGACUGUUCUUUGCUUAGUUUGAAAUGACUACCCAAGGGUGUGCUCACUGGUUUAGCUUCAUUCAUGUUGAACCUGCUGAGAACUUUCUUCACAUACUUUGACUGUGAAAGCUUCAAUGUACCAUUAGCCUUGUCUCUAAUGAUUCUCAUACCAAGGAUUUGCUUUGUAGCUCCCAAAUCCUUCAUUGCAAACUGUUUGGACAAUUGCUUCUUCAGAUUAUUAAUCUUCUCAAUGUCAGACCCUGCAAUAAGCAUAUCAUCCACAUACAACAGUAAUAUGAUGUAAGAAUUGUCAAAGGACUUAACAUAGCAACAGUGAUCAGCUUCACAUUUCUUGAACCCAAUUCUAUGCAUAAAAUUGUCAAACUUCUUGUACCACUGUCCAGGAGCUUGUUUAAGGUCAUACAAGCUCUUUCUCAGUUUGCAGACUAGAUUCUCUUGUCCCUGAACAAUGAACCCUUCUGGCUGAAUCAUGUAAAGGUCUUCCUCCAAGUCACCAUGAAGGAAUGCUGUCUUCACAUCUAACUGCUCAAGAUGUCGGUUUUCUACCGUCACCAUUCCAAGUACAAGUCUAAUUGUUGACAUCUUCACAACUGGAGAAAAUAUCUCUAUGUAGUCAAUGCCCUCUUUCUGCUGGAACCCUUUAACAACUAAUCUGGCCUUGUAACGUUUGCUACCAUCAUGCUCAUUCUUUAUUCUGUAUACCCACUUGUUGUGCAAAGCCUUCUUUCCUACUGGCAAUUCAGUCAGUUUCCAUGUCUGAUUCCCCAACAGGGAAUCCAUCUCAUCCUUCAUGGCUAACUCCCACUUGCUUGAAUUCUCAUCUUGCAAGGCUUCAUCAUAACACUCUGGCUCACCACCAUCAGUCAACAGGAGAUAAUUUAAAACAGGUGAAUAAUGCUGCGGAGGUCUAAUGUUCCUGGAAGAUCUGCAAACUUCAGCUACAGGUGUACUCAAAUCUACCUGUGAAUUUACAUUCUCCUUAUCUUCUUCACCCCCUUUUUGGACAGUACUUUCAGUCAAUUCAUCUAAGUUGACAAACUCAGAUUUCUUUUGAUUUAUCUCUGUAACAUCUGACACUAUAGUUGACCUGUCCUUGUACAUAACCUGUUCAUUAAAUAUCACAUUUCUACUUCUGAUGAUUUUCCUGUUUUGUUCAUCCCAAAACUUAUGGCCAAAUUUCUCAUCACCAUUGAUUCGUCCCUAGCAGCGGCAGUGGCAAUGGCACCAUUUGAUUCGAGGUUUGAUCCCCGGCAACGGCGCCAUUUGAUUCGUGCCCACUUGGUGUCUCAGCUGAUUCGUGUCCAGCUGGUGCUCCUUGAUUGAGGGAGUAAUCAACAAAAUUUAUAACCUAUUACACCAUAUACUAGGGUAGCAAAGACAAAGCUACUAUAGUAUAGUGGCUCUAGGAUCGUUCACUGGGAUGGGUUUUCACUUUGCAAAUGAUAUUAAUUCAAAGCUGAAUUGGUGUCUUUUCAUUUCAAGGUUAGCUUUAAAAGAAAACAUAAAGAUGUUUGAAAGAAAAGAAUUUGGUUUUAAACUAACCAAAAAUAGUAACUGAUUUUACUUAUAAAGAAAAUAUGUUUCUUGGAGUUCAGAUCACUAGGCUCGUUCCUCAUACAAAAUGGAGAGUUCCGGUCACUUGUUUAUUUUCCUCGCAUUAGAGAAUUAACAUAUAGUUCCUUCUCCAACCGGUGUUGUACAGAUGCUUCCCAUUAAUGGGUUCAAACACUAAAUCCCUCUCACUGAUGCAACUUGCAAUGGUUCAUGCCUCUCACGAGCACUUACCAUUCAAGGAGAUCUUUAACCUUGGACUUCCCUUCUCAAGCUCGCAAGAGAUAACUAAUGGAUGUCUCCUAGGAGUCCAAAAGCUUACCAAGUGUUGGCUAUUCUAGAAAAUCCUACCUUGAAGUCGCCUCCCAAAGGCUCGCAAGGGGUAAACUAGUGCAUUUCCAUGGUUGGAAAUCACUUGCCUUACCAAGUGUUGGCCCAGGUGACUCUAAGGUGUUUUAAGUUAACUAAAAACAUAGAAAUCACUAACGGGUUACACUUUCUCUUCAUUAAAAACUAAAACAACAAAACAUCCAAAUUAUGCAUGUGGAAACUUACCCGGCUUUCCUCACUCCAAGAGACAAAAAGCUUAGCCUCUCAUCCUCUGUGGAAAAAUCCUCAGAGUUUGGUUGGCUAGAAAGAAAAGUAAAUGAAAAAUGAAAGAGAAGGAAAAACAGAGCAAGGCUCUCUAUAUUCUAUAUAUGAUCGAUAUUACAUAUAUGAUCCUCCUCCCUCCUUUACAGUGGAUGCAAGGGAAUAUAUAUAGAGGAGUUUUUCCAACCUUCCUAGCUAAGAAAUCUUGUGGUUGGUGGCUUACAAGGAGAAGAAUGGAAAUUCAUACAAAAAUAUCUGAAGAAAAAUAUCCAAAAGAGUCGGUGCAAAAAUAUCGGGAAGCUUCAGGCACAUUUCGCAGGUGAAAAUGGUGUCUGCGAGAUUUCGCAGACACUCAAGAGGGCUGCGAAAUAUUUUCGCAACAACAAGUUAAACUCGUAGGGCUGCGAAAUUGGCUUCCACCUUGAGGUUCUCAGCGUUCCAGCUUGCGGCAUGUAUCGGGUAGCUUCAGGAGGAAUUCCAUAGCACUGUACAAAAAGGCUGCGAAAUUCUCGCAACAAAAGGCUGAUUUCGCAACACUUUGGAGUGAUCUGCUUGAAAUGGCUGUAACUCCUUCGUUUCAACUCCGAAUCGUGCACCGUUUGAAGCAUUGGAUUCUUGACUUCCUGAGCUUUGAAAUGGUAUAUAGAAUGUAGAAAAUGGACUUCGGGAAGUGCUCCAAAAGUGCGCAAGAAGACUGCAGCUGCUUGUCCUCUGUUUUCUUCACUCUGUUUUUCCUUUCUCCUUUCUUCUCUCCUUGCAUACUUUGAACGACUUUGGAAAAGGGCUAUGGAGCUCCAAAGCUUGGUUCUUCAUGAAUUUGAGCUUCCAAAAGCUUUGCCAUGAACUAUAUACAAUUCUCCCUCAUUCUUGGAUUGUUUUGGUGAUCAAAUUACUAACAAAAACACCAAAACUUACACAAUUUGAUUAGAAAUGAUUGCAAGGGUCCUUAACAUGUUAAUUGGGUUAAAAGGCAAUAACUACUACUCAAAAGUGUUUAAAAGAGUUAAUUAUAAGCUACAAAAUAGCACUUUUUGAGUAGUAAUCACUCCCCCCAACCGACAUAUUGCUAGUCCCUUAGCAAUGAAGGAGAGAAAAACUAAGUACUAUAAUAAUAUACAUAAAAGGGAUCAUGCAAAUCACUCCAAAAAAUGAUAUGAGUGGCAUGAUGGACAUCCAUGGAUCAAUAAAGAUGUGAAACUCAACCUAUAAUAAGAGUUGUCAAAGCAUUCACUUGAUCAUAGAGUACAAAGAAUGGAUAUUAUGCAAGUUUAAGCAUCAAAAGAAUUUCCACUCUCAAAAGAUCCAAAUCAAAUUCUUCCACUAAAAGCUAAGUGUUAAUGUGAUUAGCUUCCGAGUAUAGUAUGGAUAACUAUCAUCUCCCCCCAACCUAAGUCUUUCUUUAAGCUUAGCAAAAUUAACCAUCUCUUGAUAGGCUAGGAACGCACCUCUUAUUUACAAUUCUUUUCACUUACUAAACUUAACCAAUUCACCCAUGUAACAAGCAGAGGAUCGGUGACUCCCAACCAAUAAAGGCUUAGGGCACCAGGCUUUAAAGGCUUUCGCCACCCCUUCGGACCAUGCUCAGGUUUCAAGGCAAGUAAAGAAGUUUAUUCUUUUUUUUUUUUUUUUUUUUUUUUUUUUAUAUUUUUUCAAAGACUCAUUGGUCUUUAUGAGGUGUCCCAACACUAUUAAAGAGAGGUUAAAGGUGUCAAAUUAUGAUUUCUCAAGCUUAGAGGGUGAGAUAGUUUCACAUCUUAUAACCGGAAUCUAAUGUAUGUGUGUGCGAAUAGCUUAAGGUGGAAGAUAUAAGUUUGCAUGCAAUGGGAGUUUCAACAAUUCAUCAACUUUUAGAAGAGCAUAAUACAAACUCUAAGACUCAUGUGAUCAAGUUGAAACUUGACUUCUCUCAUUUAAUUUUGAGAGUUAAUCCUUAAUAUCCAUGGAGUUUAAAGCAAAAAUUUUAAAAUUUAAACAAAAAGCAACUAAAUUACCAAAAUAACUUAGCAUUAUUAACAAUACUUACUUCCUCAACUCUCCCCCCAACCAAGCUGAACAUUGUCCUCAAUGUGACAAAAGCGAUUAAAAAAUAGGGAGGAAGUGGUACCUCCUUAGUGACAUGGAGUUUGAGUCGUAUAGGAGAAACCACAUGUUUCAAAGAAAACAUAAGAGUUAGUGAGUAGAGGAAAUAGAAAAAUGUCAAGUUUAAACAAAAAUGAUGUCUAUAUAUGAUGUAUCAUCAGUAAUACAUCCAAUCCCAGAAUAUAAGACAUCCAAACAUGGAAUAUAAUAAGUAGAGACAAAAAGUAAAGAGAUGAUCAAGUAAUGGUAAGGUCCUGUGGAGCUGAUGCAUCUGUGGUGGCCUCUUGAGUGGGUUGGAUCAAGACUUUGACCUCUGUUCAAGUAGUCUCCUUAAGUGGCAUAGUCUCCUCAAUUGGAGCUCUCAGCUGGAGCUAUGGGCUCUGAUGGUUUAAGGAGGUCAGAAAUGGAGUGAGAGACUUGGUGUGUGUGAUCCCAGGGUGUGCAGGGCUCCCUCUUCAGAUGCAUGAUUGUGAGGCUUUGUUGGCAUUUUAGCAACUUCUCUUGGCUUUGCAAAAUGUUUUUGCAAACCUUCCUCCAUCUCGCAAAUCAAUUUUGCAAUUUGAAAGUCAUUCCUAAGCUUGGAUGUGAUUUCGCAGCCAUUUCAAAGCUUGGAGAUCAUUUCGCAGAAAAGUGGCAUGUUCACAGACCAUUUUUGAAGCUUGGAGCAUUUUCGCAGCAGGUGGUGGAUUUCGUAGAGGAGGGGAAUUCUCGCAACCCAUUUCUCAGCUUAAAAGUGAUUUCGCAGCUCAAAGGUGAUUUCGCAGCCGUAUCGAAGCUUAGAGAUCAUUUCAUAGCCAUUUCAAAGCUCAAAAGUGAUUUCGCAGCUCAUAGGUGAUUUCGCAGCCAUAUCGAAGCUUAGAGAUCAUUUCAUAGCCAUUUCAAAGCUCAAAAGUGAUUUCGCAGGUGUAUCGCAGCUUCAAAAUGAAGGGAACUAUGCUGCAAAUGGCACUCGUGUGCCAAAAAUUGGUUUGCAGCUGCGAAACACCCUUCCAAAUGGUGUUUCGGUUGCGAAAUUCUCGCUCAGCUUUGCACUCUUGUCUUCAAACGACCAUAACUUCUUCAUUUCAAAUCCAAAUCGAGUACCGUUUGAAGCUAUGGACUCCUGACUUCCCAAGCUUUGAAACGAGAUAUCAUAUGCAUAAUUUGAGCUCCAGAAAGUGCUUCAAAAAUGUGUCCAACAGUAGCAAAAUGGAGGUACGACAUUUCCGUUCAUGGUUUGCACAGUCAUCUUCAAACGGCCAUAACUUUUCCGUUUCAAAUCGAAAUCGAGCACCGUUUGAAGCUGUGGACUCGUGACUUCCCAAGCUUUCCAACGAGAUAUUGCAUGCAUAAUUUGAACUUCGGGAAGUGAUCGAAAUGUGUCCAACAAUUGCCGAAAUGGGGGUGCGGCUGUGAAAUUGGGAUUUUUCACGUUUUGGAACUUCGCAGCCAUUUCGCAGCUGCGAAAUGGGAGUCACUGUGCUGCGAAAUGGCACUCGUGUGCCAAAACCGGCUUCGCAAUUGCGAAAUACCCUGCGGAAUGGGACUUUUGGUGCGAAAUCAGGCUUUACCACUUCGCAAUGCGUUUCGCAGCUGCGAAAUGGAUGCUCCUGUACUGCGAAGUGGCACUCGUGUGCCAAAAUGGGUUUCGCAGCUGGCAAAUACCCUGCGGAAUGGAGCUUUCCCUGCGAAAUGGAGGAUUUCAUGCUUUGGUGGUUCGCAGCCGCUUUCGCAGCUGCGAAAUGGGGGCCACUGUGCUGCGAAGUGGCACUCGUGUGCCAAAUUUGGUUUCGCAGCUGCGAAAUGCCCUCGCAGAGACUUCUACAGUGUUGCGGAAUGGUUUGGCAACAAAAUGCCGAUUUCGCAGAGGCUGCGAAAUCUCGCAGACCCCUGUUUUUCCCCUGUUUCUCCCCUGUUUUCGCUCCGUUUGACUCCAAUUUUGCUCCGAUUUUGCUCCGAUUUUUUUUCUUCAAUUUCUUUGCAAUUCCUCUUGAUUUUGAUCAUCCAAAAACCUAUAUUACAUCAAAACAAACAGAAUUAAAACAUUGAAAUCAAAAUUAAAGCAUUGAAAUCAAAAUUAAAACAAGAAAUUAACAAAACAAAAAGAUAUGGACUAGCUAGUCUUUAAAAAAAACUAAGUCCAUCAAAAAAUUUGAUCCUGAUUUAGCUUGCCCGGAUCCCAUAUGAAGCUUGCAUCUCUCACUUGGGACUUUCUCUGUAUGAUCUUGCCAUACAAAGCUUGGAGAAAAGGUGGAGGCAUGUGUUUUUUCAUCAAUUCUUCCUUGAUGACUAUCCUCUGUGAUUCUUUUUGUACAUUAACAUCAUAGCCAUCUUUCUCUAUGCUUUUCCCCUUUUUCUUUCCUUUGAUUUCCUCCCUCUUUUCUUUCUCUGUUUCACUCUCUACCUUAUGCUCUAGCUUGCAUGUGGGCAGAUCAACCUCUUUACCACUCCUCAGAGUGAUCACUUCUUCAAUUUCCUUCUUUUGUGAAGGUUCUCCCUCCUUAGCCUCCAUUUCAUGGAUACUCAUGGAAUUUUGAUAAGGUUGAGAAGGAGAGUUUUCUUUCUCUUGCAUUGUGUUGAGGUUGGCUAACCUUGAGAUUGAAUCUUGGAGAAUAUCUAACUUUUGGGCCAUAUCAUUUUGCAUUUCAUCCAUUCUUUUGUUCAACAUACUCUCCAUUCUGUCCAUUCUUUGAUCCACUCUGUCCAUUCUUUGANNNNNNNNNNNNNNNNNNNNNNNNNNNNNNNNNNNNNNNNNNNNNNNNNNNNNNNNNNNNNNNNNNNNNNNNNNNNNNNNNNNNNNNNNNNNNNNNNNNNAUCCACUCGAGCAUUGGUGGCUUCUUGCUUUCCCACAAAAUCUCCUACUACCUUGCAAAGAUUCACCAUAGCUUGUUCAAGGUUUGAGGCUUGCUGUGGUGUUUGAGUAGGUUGCUGAUACUGAGGUGGCUGUGGUUUCCAAGAGAAAUUUGGAUGGUCCCUCCAAUUGGAAUUGUAGGUGUUGCAAUCACCAAACAUUUCCCUCUCGACUAGAAUGGUAGGACACUCAUCCACCAAGUGCUCAUAUGAUCGACAAAUGGCACAAGGCAUAGCUUGCAAUGGUGUUUGAGAGAUGGCUUGCACUGGUUGCAUAUUUGUCAUUUCUAGCUCUUCCAAUCUCCUUUCCAUAGCUGCAAUUUCUGCCUUCAUGUUCAUACCAUCAUUCAAAAUAUACAUCUCACCCUUAGCUUUAGGUUGAGACGUCAUUCUUCCCAUAUCUCUAGCAUUUGGUUCACCCCAUUCUCUUGAGACUUUAGCCACAUAACUCAUGAAGUUCAUGGCUUCCUCUGCUAUCUCGUAUUCAAUAUGGCAUGCACAACUAGCAAUUUGUGAAUUAAAAACAGAGAACACAAAAGAAAACAAAAGAAAAACAAUUCAAAGAAAGAAAAUUAAGGUAAACUAAAAACUAAAUAAAAGGUAUACUAAAAUAUGAACAAUAAAGAAAUAAAAAGAGUUAGUAAAAGGAAAAGAAAAGUCACCAAACUUGUGAUGAAGAUCACAAGUACUCUAAAAAGGUGAGAUCACUGUAAAGUCACCAUCCCCGGCAACGGCGCCAUUUGAUUCGUCCCUAGCAGCGGCAGUGGCAAUGGCACCAUUUGANNNNNNNNNNNNNNNNNNNNNNNNNNNNNNNNNNNNNNNNNNNNNNNNNNNNNNNNNNNNNNNNNNNNNNNNNNNNNNNNNNNNNNNNNNNNNNNNNNNNNNNNNNNNNNNNNNNNNNNNNNNNNNNNNNNNNNNNNNNNNNNNNNNNNNNNNNNNNNNNNNNNNNNNNNNNNNNNNNNNNNNNNNNNNNNNNNNNNNNNNNNNNNNNNNNNNNNNNNNNNNNNNNNNNNNNNNNNNNNNNNNNNNNNNNNNNNNNNNNNNNNNNNNNNNNNNNNNNNNNNNNNNNNNNNNNNNNNNNNNNNNNNNNNNNNNNNNNNNNNNNNNNNNNNNNNNNNNNNNNNNNNNNNNNNNNNNNNNNNNNNNNNNNNNNNNNNNNNNNNNNNNNNNNNNNNNNNNNNNNNNNNNNNNNNNNNNNNNNNNNNNNNNNNNNNNNNNNNNNNNNNNNNNNNNNNNNNNNNNNNNNNNNNNNNNNNNNNNNNNNNNNNNNNNNNNNNNNNNNNNNNNNNNNNNNNNNNNNNNNNNNNNNNNNNNNNNNNNNNNNNNNNNNNNNNNNNNNNNNNNNNNNNNNNNNNNNNNNNNNNNNNNNNNNNNNNNNNNNNNNNNNNNNNNNNNNNNNNNNNNNNNNNNNNNNNNNNNNNNNNNNNNNNNNNNNNNNNNNNNNNNNNNNNNNNNNNNNNNNNNNNNNNNNNNNNNNNNNNNNNNNNNNNNNNNNNNNNNNNNNNNNNNNNNNNNNNNNNNNNNNNNNNNNNNNNNNNNNNNNNNNNNNNNNNNNNNNNNNNNNNNNNNNNNNNNNNNNNNNNNNNNNNNNNNNNNNNNNNNNNNNNNNNNNNNNNNNNNNNNNNNNNNNNNNNNNNNNNNNNNNNNNNNNNNNNNNNNNUUGGAUUCUUGACUUCCUGAGCUUGGAAAUGGUAUAUAGAAUGUAGAAAAUGGACUUCGGGAAGUGCUCCAAAAGUGCGCAAGAAGACUGCAGCUGCUUGUCCUCUGUUUUCUUCACUCUGUUUUUCCUUUCUCCUUUCUUCUCUCCUUGCAUACUUUGAACGACUUUGGAAAAGGGCUAUGGAGCUCCAAAGCUUGGUUCUUCAUGAAUUUGAGCUUCCAAAAGCUUUGCCAUGAACUAUAUACAAUUCUCCCUCAUUCUUGGAUUGUUUUGGUGAUCAAAUUACUAACAAAAACACCAAAACUUACACAAUUUGAUUAGAAAUGAUUGCAAGGGUCCUUAACAUGUUAAUUGGGUUAAAAGGCAAUAACUACUACUCAAAAGUGUUUAAAAGAGUUAAUUAUAAGCUACAAAAUAGCACUUUUUGAGUAGUAAUCAACCAUAGCCAAUGAAAAAACAUAUUUUUGACUUUGCAUAAAGUUUACUACGAGCAUAAGAAUCAAUAUGAACAUAAGAAACACAACCAAAAACUUUUAAAUGUGAAAACUUCACCUCUUUACCGCUCCAAAUCUCCUCAGGAAGUCUGAACUCAAUGGGAACUGAUGGUCCUCGGUUUAUCAGGUAAGCUGCAGUGCUAACAGCAUCAGCCCAAAAAGUUUUUGGUAGUCCAGCAUGCAACCUCAUACUUCUAGCACGCUCAUUGAGAGUUCUAUUCAUGCGCUUAGCCACACCAUUCUGCUGUGGUGUCCCAGGAAUGGUCUUCUCCAUCCUAAUUCCCUGUGCAGCACAAUACUCACUGAACCCUCCAUCUAUGUACUCUCCUCCAUUAUCUGACCUCAAACAUUUUAUUUUCAAACAUGUUUCUGUUUCAACCAUGGCUUUCCACUUCUUAAAAGUUUCAAAUACAUCAGAUUUAUUUUUCAGAAAAUAAACUCAUACCUUUCUACUUGAGUCAUCAAUAAAAGUGAUGUAGUACCUUGAACCUCCUAGGGAUGCAACCGGAGAAGGCCCCCACAAAUCAGUGUGUACUAGUUCCAAUUUUUCAGCCUUCGGUGUCCUACCAAUUUUCAAGAAGCUCACAUUUUUUUGCUUUCCUAAGAUGCAACUUUCACACAUGUCAAAAUCAAUGGACUUCAAUUCUGGUAGUUUUCCUUUUGAUAGCAACAUCUUCAUCCCUUUCUCACUCAUGUGACCAAGUCUGCGAUGCCAUAGGCUUGUAUUAGUACUUGCAUCAGCAACUGCAAUUGUGUCUCUUGGACAUGAGGUCAUAUAUAGAGUACCAGUCUUCUUUCCACGAGCCAAUACCCUAGCUCCCUUUGUAACCUUCCAAGUACCACCAACAAAUAGUAUUGCAUGUCCUUCAUCAUCAAGUUGUCCAAUAGAAAUCAGAUUCCUCCUCAGGUCAGGAAUAUGUCGAACCUUCUCCAGUAACCAAAUAGACCCAUUGGGCAACGUUAUCCGGACGUCUCCCAGACCCACAACAUCCAAUGUUGAACCAUCAGCCAAAUACACCUUACCAAAAUCACCUGCAACAUAAUUCUGUAUGAUUUCUCGGUGUGGAGUGGUAUGAAACGACGCUCCUGAAUCCAAAACCCAAUCAUCAAGUGGAUUGUCUACUGCAAGAAGUAAUGCAUCCUGUAGCUCUUCUAUUACAGCAUUAGCAGAAUCAUCUUCAUUCUUCUUCUUAGGGCUUUUGCAUUGCCUUUUAAAGUGACCUGUUUUCCCAUAAUUCCAACAUUGUACUUGUUGGCCUGAUCUAGAUUUGCUUUUGUUCCGAUUAGAAUUUCUGGAAUUUGAUCUACCCCGAUUUGAAUUUCUGUCAUUACCUUUGCCUCUUGUUUCAAGGUUUAGGGCAAAACCAGAUCUUGAGGUUUCACCUACAUCUCUUCGGCGAAUCUCCUCAGCCAGAAUUAAAUCCAUAUAUCAUUGUACUUGAGCUUUUCCUUUCCCAUAGAAUUGCUUACUACCAUCCUCAUUGCCUCCCAACUGUUCGGCAAAGAAGCCAAGACGAUCAGAGCACGAAUCUCAUCAUCAAAAUCAAUUUCUACAGACGACAAUUGAUUUGUAAUUGUAUUAAAUUCAUUCAAAUGUUGUGCUACUGAUGCAUUCUCUGCCAUCUUCAAAUUGAACAAUUUCUUCAUCAGAUGCACCUUAUUGUUUGCGGACGGCUUUUCAUACAUACCGGACAAAGCCUUCAUCAAAUCUGUUGUGGUCUUCUCCUUUACAACAUUAUGUGCAACAGACCUAGACAGAGUUAACCUAAUACUCCAAAACCUGUCUGUCAAGAAGCGCCCAUUCCUCAACCUUCAUACUCUAAGUUUUGUCCCCAANNNNNNNNNNNNNNNNNNNNNNNNNNNNNNNNNNNNNNNNNNNNNNNNNNNNNNNNNNNNNNNNNNNNNNNNNNNNNNNNNNNNNNNNNNNNNNNNNNNNAAAAGAGGCAGAUGCAAUUUCCUCCCAUAGAGAUAAUCUUCAAUCUGCAUCCUCCAAUACGCAAAGUUUGUGCCAUCAAACUUUUCUAUUCCAGACGCCUUUCCUGCUUCCUCUACCAUUGCUCCCACUCAAACCUAACCCUAGGCUCUGAUACCAGUUGUAGGGAAUUAAACCGAAUUCCCAACCCGUGAGGAACAAAAAUUAGAGAAAACACACGCCAAAGAAAAAACAAUCACACGCACAAGACAGUAUUUACGUGGUUCGGCAAUUUGCCUACAUCCACGAAGUUGCAGGGAUAUCACUAUUAUCAGGAAAGAAUACAGAGUACAACAUAGCGGCUACAAUAUUCUCUCUAUAUAUAUAACACGACAACACCACCACACUAAAAAACCCUAAUUACAAAAGGUGGUUCCACAAUGGGCUAAACAAGCCCAACAGGCGUCAAUAAAUCUCCCAUUAAAAAGCCAUGCAAUAUUAUUUGGGUCGGGUCAUUAAACCGGAUCAAACAAAACUAGGCUCCACAAAGCCCAACAUAAAAGUCUAUAAGGAGCCGCCCGAACUCCUAUGUUUCAUUAAUUAGCUUUUGAGAUUUGAAUUUGUUAAUAUUGAUAGAAAUUAACUUUGUGUUUCUUUCUUAUAAAGUAAACAACUAUUAUCAUUGCAUUUCUUGGAAUUGGUGCUUUUCACAUUGCUUGUUGGGAACAUGCAAGUCUGCUAGUUGAAUGAUAUUCAUGUUAAUCCAUUAGGGGCAUAUUUGAGUGCAAUUUUUUUUUUUUUUUUGCUUCAAUUAAUUUCUCUCAUGAACUCUAUAUCAAUAGAUCAACAUUACAAUAAAUGAGUAUUCAAGUUCAUUGCAUUGCUUUUUAGAUAUAUUAACUUAAUUCAUUCAUCCUUCAUUUACUUCAAUUUCUCAAUUUGGUUUUGAUUUUUUAGAAUAAAUAUUUUAUUGACUCUUGUUUUUAUUUUUAUUAAUAAGUUUAAACUCAGUAAUUGAUCAAUUCUCAAAUCUUAUAUAUGAUUAUUUGGGCAUUCACUCGCUAGUAUGAUUAAAUAAAUUUGGUUAAAUUUUGAAUUUCAUCAUCUGGUUAGAUUUGGUUAAAACUUUUCAUCAUAUAAAUUAUUUUUUCUUGUAAAUUAUUUUAAAUUUUUUUCUUGCAAUUUUCUCUCAUUCUCUCUAGUAUUUAAGAGGCUAAGGGGAUUUAAGGUGGUAAGUAAACUUGAUAUUCUAAAUUAAUUUUUGUGAAGGUUGUAAUUUCAAUUAUACUUAUUGGUUGAUAUAUGCAUAAUUUAGAGAUUUUAUAUUCUUCUUAUCUUUGUUUAUAGGUUGGAAAGGAAAUUGAUUAGCAAAAGAAGAGAAACCAUUAUGUUAAAGGAGAGGAUAUUGAAGACCACGAAAGAUUACAUCAAUGACUCAUUAGGAGGUUGAACCGUACUUUUGUAGAUUAUGGUUUAUCUUAAUCUUGUUGAAUAUUUUGAUAUAAUUAACAAAUUUAUAUGUGAUUGGUGUAUAUAAAUACUUACAUUAAUUAUUUGAACUAAAUUAUUGUAUAUAUAUAAAUAUUUGGUGAUAUUUUAAUCAAUGAAAUUCAAUUUGAUUUUAUGGCUUGCAAUUGUUUUUCUUUUAUUUAAUUAUAUGAUAAAUUCAUUAUUUUAAUAAUAUGAUAUAAAUAUUAUUUUUAAUAGAAAAUUAUGGAAGAUGACGCUUCUAGAAGUGUCGUUGAUAAAAUUAAUCAAAGACGACGCUCAUAUAAGUGUAAUAUAGGUGAUUUUACAAAAAUAAUUUCAAUAAAAAAAUGUUCAAAGAUGAUUCUUUUACAAGUGUCAUUGUUAACAUUAUUCAAUUAUGACACUUUUAAAACGUCAUUGAAAACAUAGAUAGAGAUGGCAUUAUUGUUGAUUAAAACAUACAAUGACAGGGUGGAAGAAGACGCUUUAGGGAAGCGUCAUCUUUUACCUUUAUUGACACUUAAAAAACGUCAUUGUUUCACUUUUUUCUUGUAGAGAUCAUAAAUGGGUAAAAGAUAUUUCUUAUGAGGGGAUUUAAAAAAAAAAAAAAAAAAAAAAACUAUGUAAUGCAAAUAUAGUAAUCCCAAACAAGACAAUAAGAUUUCCGUUCCCUAAUUAAUUUAAAGACAAAUAUGAAAACCCUCUAAAGGACUUAGCAUGAGAUGAUGUCAUUUAUUUAUAUUUUAUAGAAAUUAAUAUAUAUAUAUAUAUAUAUAUAUAUAUAUAUAUAUAUAUAUACACUAAGUCCUAAAUGGGUAAAAUACCUUUUUUAGGAAGGGAUGUGAAAUCCAAAUAUGGUAAUACCACAAACCCACAUAGAUACAAUAUUUGGAUUCCACAUCCCUUCCUAAAUAUAUAUAUAUAUAUAUAUAUAUACAUAUGGAAUCCAAAUAUGGUCAUUCCAGACAAGACAAUAAGAUUUCCCCUUCCUAACGAAGAUGGGGACAAAUAUGAAAACUCUCUAAGGGAAUCCACAUAAGAUGACUUCAUUUGAGUCACACCAUCUAGAAGCCUGCUUACAAUUAGAAAAAUGAAAGGAUAUGAUAGAGAGUGAAAUAGGAAAUGCUCAUAUCAUAACAUACAAGUGAAAAAUUAAUGUAUCCUGCAACUACUAUAUAAAGGAUUAGACGGGUUGGAAGCAAUCAAACCAUGGGGAUAUGGGAAAGGCAGAAGAGUAUUAUGAAGCUAAUAGUAUGAGGGUGGUGGAAUGGAAUUAGAAAAAGAAUGGUUUUCUUUUCUUUCAGACUCCCCUCAUACCAUUGGUUUCAUUUCACUCAUCCAUCUCCCUCAUUUCUCUAAUUGAAUCACAUCCUUGUUUUAGAUUGUUAUUUAUUUGUUCAUAAUAUUUUUUAUUUUGUUUUGAUAAUCCAUGCUUAAGGGAUUAAUUAGAGUAAUAAACAUGAUUUAUUGAUUUGGUUAUUUGAUUUGAUUUAGCACUUCCAUGUAAUACUAACUACACACAUCUUAUAUUUUAUUUGUAGUAGUUCCUAAAAGAAUAAAUGAAACAUAAUACAAGUGAAUGCUUUAGUACUAGCAUCUUUUUAUUUCUGUAACUAGUAAAAAUAAAGUUAUUUAUAGAAAUAGUUAAGUAAUAAUGAACAUUGCCCAAUAAUCUAUGUUGGACAAUUUGUUUAUGGGUACAUAUUUUUGUGAAAAAGUUGGUUUAUUUUUUAUUUAAUUUAACUAUUUUUUAUUUUUGAAUUUUACCAAUCAAAAAACAAAAUCUUUCUUUCUUUUAUCAGAUGAUGAUAGAUUUGAUAUUGUUUUGUUACUUUGAAUAAUUGAUAAGAAAAACAAAUUGCAAUUAGAAAAGUUAUGGUCUAAAGCAAAAGUCACCAUAGUGGUUCUUUAAAUUGCUACAGACAACUCAUUGUUCAUCAUGUUGACUAGGAACUCAUUCAUUGCUUUGUUACUAUAUGUUGACAAACAUUGUUAUAGCAAGCAAUGAUCAAGAAGAAGUAGAUAUUCUCAAAAAGUUUCUUGAUAGUUGUUUUAAGCUAAAAAACUUAGGACAACUAAAAUAUUUUUUAGGACUUAAAUUGGCUAGAUCUAAUAAGGGAAUUCUCUUAGUUAGCAAGGUUAUGCUUUAUAACUUCUAUCAAACAUAGGUUAUCUAGGUGUAAAACAAGAAAAACUCCUAUGGAUUCCAAUUUCAAACUCUCAUAGGAUGAAGGAGAAUUACUUGAUGACCUAUCUCAAUACAGAUGGGUGAUUGAAAAACUCUAGUAUCUCACCAUAACAAGGUUGGAUUUAUCUUACUCUAUGAAUCGUCUAAGCCAAUUUCUUGCAAAGCCAAGAGUACUUCAUUCACAAGUAGUUCACCAUGUACUUCAAUAUGUCAAGAGUACAAUAGGGCAGAGCCUUUUCUUUUCAUGCACAUCAUCUACUAAGUUUAAAGGAUUUGUAGAUUCUAAUUGGGUUUCUUGUUUAGAUACUAGAAAGUCUAUCGGUGGCUUUUGCAUGUUUAUUGGAGACUCUAUGGUCUCUUAGAAAUCAAAGAAACAACACAAGGUGUCUAAGUCCUCUGUCAAAGCUUAAUAUAGGUCUAUGACUAAUAAAACAUGUAAAAUAAUGUGGUUGCUCUCCCUUUUCAGAUACUUACACAUUGAUCAUCCAAACCCAAUAAUCUUAUUUUAUGAUAAUUAGUCUGCCUUGCAUAUAGGAGUCAAUUUAGUCUUUCAUGAGAGAAAGAAGCACAUAGAAAUUGAUUGUCAUCUUGUAAGAAAAAAAUUCAGAAUGGUUUCUUGAAGACUCUUCAUGCUUCAUCUCAACACCAAGUAGUAGAUUUGUUGACCAAGACUCUCUUUUCAACUUAGUUUACGUUCUUACUUAGUAAAGUGGGAAUUCACAAAAUUCAUUCUCCAUCUUGAGGGGGAGUAUUGAAUUAAUAUGAUAUUUUUGUAAUAAAGUUUAUUAUAGAAUUUGCAACUUUUGCUUUUCUGUUUUUUUUUUUAGUUGUUUUGGUAAACUAGAAGGUUUUUGCAAACUAUUGUUUCCGGUCACUAUUAAAAAUCUCUUAUCCUUUCCAUUUGAAAAUUAAUAGAAAUUGAAUCUUUUUCUGGAGAGCUUUCUUUUUCAUCUGCUUCUCAUUUUCUAAUAAUAAUUAAUAUGGAUUACAAAAGUAAAUAACACAAAUUAUAAAAAGUCUAAGAUUUUUGAACCAUUAAAAUUCAGCUGAAAUUCACCAUCCCAAGUGCCCAUAGGAUAAUUUGAAGGUCAAUUAUUAAAAUCAGUCAUCCUUAAGAUUCUAGAAAAUUUAAAUUUAAUUUUGAACCAUAUAAUGUUUUAAAUUCUGAAGGUAAGUUAUGUUAAAGAAUAUAUAUAAAAAUUUUAAUAAAAAUUAACCUAGUAAUUAUUGAUAGUCAAGAUUUUGAUAGAAAUAAAAUUCACUCCGUUAAAGCUUCAAUGUGAGAGCUUUAACAUCAAAGGUUAAAAGACUAGCAUAUGAGAUUCUAGAAUCUUUAAAAACUAUUAUUAAAAUUGAAAACAUUGGAAACUAAUUCAGGGAGUGAAAACCUCAUCUACACUUAAACACUAAAUAAUUUGAUAAUUAGAUAAAGUUGACUCCAACAUGUUUCCCAUUAAACCCCACUAGUCAAGCUUUUUACACUUGAAUUAUGAACAUAGUAUUUUAGAAUAUUUUGAUUUAAUCUGUGAUUAAUUCGAUCAAUUUUUUUAAAUUCAAAAUUAUUCUUAAAAAUUUUAAAAAUAAUUAAAAAUGUUAAAUUAUUAAUUAUGUCUUAUUUAAUCUAUAAUGUAUUUGCCUAAAUUCAUAAAAUACAUUGUGUGUAUAGGAGAAUCAAUAAAGUCAUAACUCAUAAUAUAUCGAUUUUGAUCUAUUAAUUUUUUAUAAUGAUUAUAUUUAUUUUUUGAGUUUCAAAUUAUUUUUAAAAACUGUUAAACCUAUUAAUAAAUUCAAUACAAAGUGUUACUUUAUUUUAAGUCCAUUUUAGAGUAAGAAAAUUUAUAAAAUAAAAUUAUGUGCAAAAAAGGUAAUAGAGCCAUUGUGAACCAAUUUUUAUCCAUAAAUGUUUGGUAUUAGUGAGUUUAUUAUUUGAGUUUCAAAUUAGAUUUAAAAAUUAUUAAAUUUGUUAAUGAAUCCAACAUAUUAAGUCUUAUUUAAUUUGGAGCUCAUUUGUUUAGUGAAAAAAAAAAAGAAAAUAGUGAUUCUAAGUAUAAGAUAAAUAAUAAAUUCAUUCUAAACCAAAUUUUGUCCAUAAAUUUUUUAUAUUAAUUAGAUCAUUAUUUAAUUUUUAAAUUAUUUUUAAAAAUUACUGGACUCAUUAUUGAACCCAAUAAAUUAAGUCUUGUUUAAUUUGGAGUUCAUUUAUCAUGUAAAAAAAUUGAAAAAUAAUGAUUCUAUGUAAAAGAGAAUAAUAAAGCCGUUCUAGACUAAUUUUUGUCCAUAAAUUUUUUGUGUUAAUUAGUUCACUAUUUGAGUUUUAAAUUAAUUUUAUAAAAUUGUUAAUGAAUCCAAAACAUUAAGUUUUGUUUAAAUUGGAGUUUAUUUUCUAUGUGAAAAAAAAAAUCAUUCUAUUUGGAAGAGAAACUAUAUAGAAGCCGGAAAGAAAGACAACCUCACCUUCUUGUAGAUGGUGUCAGUGAGAGUUACUUUAGUAUCCCCCAUUGACUUUAUUUUUUAGAUAGAAUCUUCAAUGGGUGAAAAUAAGCAACCUUACUAAGAAAGGUGCUCGUUGAGUAAAGCUGGCUUUCGAGCCCAAGCCCGUUUACUAGGUUGGGUGCUUGAGCACAUCUUUCUCAUAUCGAUCAAGGCCUUCCUUUAGUUUCCAAUAAAGGGCACAUUAGCUAGGCCAUUUUCUUGCAGGAGCGCUAAGUUGUUUUGGAUCAAUUUUUGACUAUGAAUGGCUUAUAUUAAUUGAUUCACUAUUUAAGUUUUAUGUUAUUUUUAAAAAUUAUUAAACUCACAUUUGAAUUCAACGUAUUAAAUCUUGCUUAAUUUGAAAUUUAUUUUUCUAAUAAAAAAUAAAAAUAUAAAAAUAAUACUCCUUAUAUAUAUGUAUGUGAAGAAGAAAUUAAUCCAAACAUUUAAAAUAAUUUUUUGUCUAUGACAUUUUAAUGUUAAUGAGUUUUAUGAAUUUUUAGUAUUAAUUAAAUCAUUUUUUAAGUUUCAAAUUAUUUUUUAAAUUUAAUAAAUUUAUUUAUCAAUUACAAUUUGAUUUGAAAUUUAUUUUCUUAGUGAAAAAUUUUAGAGAACUUAAAAGAAAUUUAAAAAGAACAUAUAAUUUUAAAAAAUACCAUAUUUGAAGAUUUUUGGUAUUUAUAUUAGAUCGUGGAGAAAGAAAAAGAAUGAUAUUAUGCUCAAUUUUAUUUAUGUUUUAUGUUUUAUGUUUUAUUUUUAUAUGUUUUCCUUUUGUUUUUAAAAAUUAGUGAAAACAACUUCCACUUGUUCUUUAAAACCCAUUUCUAGAGAACAAUGACCAAAUAGUAUUAGGAAUUUUUAAAAACUGUUUUCUAUUUUUAAAAAUUGAAAACUAUUUUUAAAUCAUACGACUAAACAAACUCUUAGUAUUCCAAAUUUGGAAAAAAAAUGAUUUUUCUAUCUAAAUCCUUGAGUUUAAAUAAUUUUAAAAUAAAAAUGAAAGGAAAAAAUGAUGAUCAUUUUCCAUUUAUUUAUAUUUUAUAGAAAUACAAAUAUAAAUACAUGUACAAAGUCGUAAAUGGGUAAAAGAUAUUUCUUAUUAGGGAAUUUCCAAAAAACUAUGUAAUGCAAAUAUGGUAAUCCCAGACAAGACAAUAAGAUUUUCAUUCCCUAAUUAAUUUAGAGACAAAUAUGAAAACUCUUUAAAGGACUCCGCAUAAGAUGACGUCAUUUAUUUAUAUUUUAUAGAAAUGCAAAUACACACACAUCUAGAAGCCUAAGUACAAUUAGAAAAAUGAAAGGAUAUGAUAGAGAGUGAAAUAGGGAAUGUCCAUAUCAUAACGUAAAGGUGAAAAAUUAAUGCAUUCUACAACUGUUAUAUAAAGGAUUAGAAGGAAUGAGGGCAGUCCAACUAUGGGGAUAUGGGAAAGGCAGAAGAGUAUUAUGAAGCUAACAGUAUGAGAGUGGUGGAAUGGAAUUGGAAAAAUAAUGGUUUUCUGAAUGAUUUUAUUUUCUUUCCAACUCCCCUCAUACAAUUGGUUUCAUUUCGCUUCUCACUCUCCCUCAUUUCUCCCAUUGAAUCAUGUUCUUCCUUGUUUUAAAUUGGUAUUUGUUUGUUCUCAAUAUUUUUUAUUUUGUUUUGACAAUCCAUGCUUAGGGGAUUAAUCAGAGUAAUAAACAUGAUUUAUUGAUUUGGUUAAUUUAUUUCAUUUAGCACUUUCAUGUAAUAUAACUACGCACAUCUUAUAUUUUAUAUGCAGUAGUUCCUAAUAGAAUAAAUGAAACACAAUAAAGUGAAUUUUUAGUACUAGCAUCUUUUUAUUUCAGUAUGUGGUAAAAAUUAAUUUACAUAUAGAAAUGGUUAAUUAAUAAUGAACAUUGAUUUAGUACUUGCUUAAUUAAUAAUGAACAUUGCUUAAUAAUCUAUGUUUUACGACUUCUUUAUGGGUGCUUAUUUUUGUGAAAUAGUUUGGUGUAUUUUUAAAUUUAAUCUAAUUAUUUUUUAUUUUUUAUUUUAGCAAUUUGUUUGUGUCAUCAAUCAAAAAACAAAAUAUUUUUUUCUUUUAUCAGAUGAUGUUAUAUUUGAUAUUGUUUUGUCACAUUCAAUAAUUUAUUAAAAAAGUGCAAUUAGACAGACAAAUCAAUUAAUAACCAAUCUGGAUCGCAAAAAUAAAUAAAACAAAUGAUAAAAAGUUGGAGAUUUUUUAACCAUUAAAAUUCAGUUCAAAUCCACCAUUCCAAGUGUGAAUAGGAUAGCUUGGAGGUCAAUUAUUAAAAUCUGUCAUACAUGAGAUUCUAGAAUAUCUAAAUUUUAAUUUGAACCACAUAAGGUUUUAAAUUCUGAGGGUAAGGUAUGUUAAAGAAUAUAUAUAAAAAAUUUAAUAAAAAAUUAACUUAAUACUUAUUAAUAGUCAAGAUUUUGAUAGAAAUAAAAUCCACUCUCAGUUAUAAACUGCUUUUUGAGCUUCAAUGUGAGAGCUUUAACACCAUAGGUGACUAGCAUAUGAGUUGAAAACAUUGGAAACUAAGUUGGAUUCAGGUUAUCAUCCUUAAAUCUAAGAAGUUUUCAAGACUCAAUGUUUGGUGUCAUGUGGGAAGAGCAAGUAAAUGCACGACUAAUAAUAAAAAAUGAUCAUAAAACAUUAAAAUUAGGAUAAUGUAGGAUUUAACCUAGAGACUUGAAAUGCUAUAACUACACUUAGCUCAACCUAGGUGACUAGAGGGAUAUACUAAAUUGAAUAUAAGCUGACACAAGUUAAAGUUCUUAUUUGAUCAUGUAGGAAGUAGACUCUAUGCCUACUGCAAUAUCAAGUAUGUUCCUUAAUUAUUCUGUUAUCAUGAUUAAAGUUCUCAGCAGAGCUUAUUUGAGAAUAGGUAAACAUAAGAAUCUCCUACAUCACAUCUCAUAAAAAAUGUGUCACCUAGAAUGGAUACCAUACAUUUUACCUUAAACAGUUUUACAAGAUCACUCAUGCAACAUGCUUGACACUGUACUAAGAGAUUAUGCUCGAUCACCUAGAAUGGAUAUUAAACAUUGAUUACUAAGAUACUAUACAUAAUCACAAAGCAAGUGUCAUACAUGAUAACUUAAAUACCAUGCAUAAUUACUAAAGAUAGGAACUAUGCAUUACCAAUUGCAUGUUAUGAAUGAUCAUAUAAAAUAGAUGUACCACAUAUGAUCAUCCAUAUAAGAUAUUGUACAUAGCUCUCCUAAUUCAAUACUACAUGUGGCCAUAUAGAUAAGAUACUACACAUGAUUCUUUGGAUUCGCUAUUGCAUGUGACAUCAAAACAAGAUACUACAUAUGAUCUCAGUGAUUAAUACUACAUAAUCCUUCAUAAUAGAUCAUGUGUUUUGUAAUGCACCACCAUUAUUAACUACUUUGUCAUAUCCUCAAAUUAAUUAAAUAAUCCAUCCAUCACUGCUUGCUCAAGUAGGAACAUAGAAAGGCGUUAUGACAUAUUUUACUGCUUUAGAUAGCAAUAUAUUUCAUUAAUUUCAAUUUCAUAGAUAUUCAAGUAUGGGUAAGAUAUAGGCAUUGGAUUGGUAAACUUUUAGUUCAUAGUUCUACUUUUCUUAGUUGAAUAUUACCAUUAAUGUUAGAAUAUAGUUUCCAAGAUCAAAAUUUGGUGGUCGAUGUAAUCAUUAUUAAAGAGAUGAAGAGCAGAACACAACUAGAGUAAGGACUUUAGAAGUUAACUAUGAAAUGUAUCUUGUAAAUUGAAAUGGGCCUUUAUAUGGUAUACAAAUAGGGUAUUAAACAGUUGUUCUCAAUCAAUUACAUACUUCAUAAGACUUUGGAUUCAAGGGUAGAAUUCUUUGAAGGGGGAAAGUAUGUAACAUCCAAGAUUUUUAGAUAGAAAAGUUUUUCAAUUGUUUUUUACUAAAAGGUUGUUAGUGCAUUUUUAACAAAAAAAAAACACAAAUAUAACAAUUAAAAAUCACUACUAAGUUAAAAAUAGUUAAAGAAGUAAAAAUUAGUAGUAAUAAUAAUAAUAAUAGUAUGAUAGAUAAAUAAAAAGAAUAACUCUUGUAAUUGUGUUAAAUAAAUUCUACUGACAAUUUGAAUUUCUCUUGAAAAAAAAUAUAUAAUAAUUAUAGCAAAUGUAAUUAGAUGUGAUGGCAAGGUUAAUUUAGUUUAUGGAACCUGGUGAAAUUUAUCUUACAACAUUGAAAUUAAGUCCAAUAACAUAUGUAGAAAUUUUAAUUAUCCAAUGCAAGUGAGUAUCAUUCUUGAAAUACCACUUGUCAUCAUGUAGAGAAGGAAAAUCGUAGUACGUAGAAGUGUAAGAGUUAAAUAACAAAUAAUAAAGACUUUCAUAAAAUUAUAGAGGAUUGCCUAGAAAAACUUGGCGAGAAAAUAAUGACAAACCAUAUUCCCAAGGAUGGUUAAUGUGUACAAUGAGAGUAUUAUAUUUGAUGGAAAUAACCCAAGAUUUCUUUUUUAUAAAUAAAAGGUAAAUUUCCCAACUUUUAUAGGCGAUUAAAUUCUCCUUAAAUUAUGGAUUUUAAAAAUGCAAAAUAUUAAAGAUUCAAUCUUAUUUCAAGUAAUGAAAAACAACUAAGAAAUCAAGACGAAUAGUUAAUUAACUUAAAGUGAAUAAUUUUAAGGGACACUUGAUACAUUAGAGAAGUUUAUAAAUUUAAAGGGUAUGAUUGUUAUUCUUUGUUUUAGUUAGGGACAUUUUUGUCACUCUGUGAAGAUAAGGAGGGAAGGUAAUAAAUUAAAAAAAAAAACUCUAAAAGAAUAAGUGGGAGAGAAAAUUCACAAUUUAUUAUCUUCUUCUUCUUCUUGGUUUUAGAAAGAGUCUCCAAGCUUUAGUAUGUCAAUAAUCUUGUGGUAAAAAAUAUUUUUCCAUUUCUUUAAAAGUCAAAUUUAAUCGCUAUUUAGAGCUUAGCUAUUGUUAUUGUUUUUUUUUUUUUCAUUUCUUUUUUCUAUUGUUUUUGCUCUUAAUUUGGUUGGGUGAGUAUUGUUAGAAGACUAGGAUGUUGGAUCAGUGUGAUAAAGUUAUAUAUACAUACAUACAUAUAUAUAAUUAUAAUUAUAAUAAUAAUAAUAAUAAUAAUUAUUAUUAUUAUUAUUAUUAUUAUUUUCUCUGACUUUAUAGAUUAUUUGAUUGUCAAGAAAGUAAAGGAAAAUGCUAAUUUAACAUAGAAAUAACUUUUAAUGUUUAAAUACAUGAAAUACAUAUACCUAGUUGUGAUGACUAUUUUCCUUUCUUAGAGCAAUAGAAAAUAGGAGGGUUUUCCUUGGGUUACAAGUUGUUUGGUAGCUUAAAAAAUGAGGGAAAAUAUGAUGUUAUGGGUCUAAAUUUACAUAUAAUUGUUGAAGAGUGUUGAACAACUAAUUUUCCUAAAAGCUUAAGCUUGUAAGAUUUAGACUCACAAUGUAUAUACCAUGCCCUCCCAACACCUCCCCUCACAUGUAGCCUCUGGUGGAUUUAAUGAAUUGAGGAAAUAACUAUGUAGUGGUGAGGCCAAACGAGCAUAAUAAAUGAACAUGUCUGUAAAAUAUUUGGAAAAGCACCCUAUAUUCAAAGCAAAGUAAAUAAAAGAAAGACCAAAAACACAAUCACAAAGGAACCAAGCAUAAUAAGCCUGCUGUAGGCUAAUGACACCAUCAUAAAUACUUCUACAAUUAACGUACAACUUCUGCCAGACCUUCUAUAUAGAAUCAUACUUCCACAGUUAAGUAGAAAUGGCACAAUGUGAAACAAAUGUAUCAUUAACAUAAGAGAAACGAUUUUCAGUCUAUCGAUUGACUCUAGCACCAAUAUCUAAACUCUGCUCAGUCUAUUGAUUGAACCUAGAACCAAACUAGUCUAAUUCCCGUAAGAUAUUUGGAAAAACACCCUAUAUUCAAAGAAAAGCAAAUAAAGGAAAGGCCAAGCACAAUCAUAAAAGAGGCUAGAAGGAGAUACAUCCAAUAUAUAUAUAUAUAUAUAUAUAUGAAGAGCUAAAAGCUCCUACUUGGUGUCCCAGUGCAAAGCUUUCUCGGCGAUUUCAACUUGAGCCUUAAGUUGCUUUAAGAACCUGGUUCGCUGGGCAAGAAGAGCUUCUGUUUCUUAGAGCACUCGGAUUGAAUUUGCUGGUAGCUUUGCCUCUCUUCUGCCAAGGCUCAGCCGGUUGAUUCAAGCUCAGCCUCAGCAGCACUCAAUUUCUAGUGGACAAGCUUGAUUGCCUGACUGCCUUAGCUAUUUCAUCUCAGGCUUUGGCUGUAGCUUCCCUUGCACAUUUCUCAGCACAUAUCCGUGCUUUUCACUCAUCAUUUAGUUCUUUGAAAUUUUUUUGCUGUGAAAGAAGGGACUCCUGUUUCUCAGAUGCCUUGGAUUUAAUUCUCUUGCUGUUUUCCCUCCCUUCAUCCAAAGCUUGGCAUGUUGCUUCCAGUUCAGCCUCAGCAGCACUUCAUUUCAAUUACAUCUUACUAUACUUUUUAUUAAUGAAAAUGUAAGAGCAAUCUAAUGUUCAAUCUUUCAUUCAUCUUUGUCUAAUGCAUUAUUUUUCUCAACUAUUAAUCUUAAGUCCUACAAAUAAAGUUAAUCAUAUCAUAUGCUAGAGCAUGAUAUCUCAAGUGUUCACAUUUUUUCUUAAUAAUUGAUAUCCCUUUGUCGAGAUGUUUUUAUUUAUUUAUUUACUUAUUCAAGACUUCUAAAACCAUUAAUUUCCUCUAUUAAGAUUUUUGUGUUUGCUUUGUUGCUUUUUUUUCCCCCUAUAGGCAUCAACAAAUGUUAGAUGUUGUUGUUGCACGGUCCAAAUGGAAAGUCUCGUCUAGCUCUCAAGGGCUGGAUGGAUGGAAUGGACAACAAUAUUGUUGAAGACGUGCUUAAGACUGCUGAUGUGGUGUCAUAAAUUUUUUAGUUGUUUUGAAUGUUUCAAAGUUGUUGUUGCUAGCUCUUCGGUGUUGGUUGUUUUUCUAUUUUGCAUGUUUUGUUCAUGGCUUAAUCCUUUGUCCACGUUUAUAGUGGGUAGUUGUUGAUUAAGUUUUUAUUAUAAUUUUGAUAAUUAAUGAAUUAUUGUUGUUCUAGUUUGUUUUACUUCUGUAAUAUCUU
rnacentral:lncRNA from 1 species